rnacentral:lncRNA from 1 species
GAGGGCAGGCCAGAGGAGCAAAGAAGCCUAAUCUGAGAGUCCAGGAGGCUGUGUGCCCUGCUUGGAAUGCUCUUCUCUGAAUGGGCGCAUUAGCACCUUUCCUGUUCAGCUGGGACUCCAGAUGGCAAGACCAGAAUGGUAGGAAUCCCCACAGCCCCCUCCCUGUUGGUUCUGGUCUGAUUGUCCUGGGCAGAAGGUGCAGCUGCUAUGGAUUUUGCUGGGCCUGGUGUCUCAGUGAGUUGUAGGCAGCAGCUGGCCUUGCUGGGGCCGUUGGAGGCUGAACAGAGACCCCAGGGUAGGUGGUCACCCCUUGGCUUUUCAGGCACAGCCUCCCUGUCCUGGGUCUCUCAUGUGGGAAGAAGUGUCCUGUCCCCUCGCGAGGCAGUGGGAGGCCCAGCAUGCUGGCCCAGACCCAGAGGUGGAGCUGCUGCUUUCUUGGCUGACUCCCAGGUGUCAGUAGGGACGGUUCCAGCCUAAGUGGCCUGAUACCUUGAGUUCAAAAUGCCCUUGACCAGCACAGCCUGGCUCAAGGACCAGGAGCAGUCCAGUAUCCCUGGAGAAGCCAAGCCUGAAGGUAGGGCCUGGGCGCAGAGUGGGAGGCUGGGCACUUUGCUGGGACUGCUUUCCCAGAGAGCCAAAGGUUCACGUGCUUCCUCAAGGAUGGUUCUCUGGCCUCAGGCAGGCUCUGGCCUUCCCUCGGCAUCAGGCCCUGCCAGGCUACUGCCAUUCUCAGUGAUGCGUGUGUCUUGUUGGUGGACACAGACCCCUGGGGGGCCUAGAGGUUGGCAGCAGUGGCUCAGGAUGGGUCCUUGCAUCUGCGCUUCCCCUGACCUGAGCCACCAUUCUUUCCAAACCCACAAAGCUGGCUCCUCUGCCCAUCUGUCCAUCUCUCAUUCCCCUUUCUUCUCCUUGCUUUCUGUUUUAAACCCCGGAUGGUCAGGGAAUUCAUGCUACAGCUACUGUCCUCAGGGAAGCCCAACACCCGGGGUCCUUGAUUUUCAAGACAGAAAAGAAAAAAAUGCACAUGUCAAAUCUUCAGACGUGAAUCUGCGGGUGACCAGGAAAAAGGGACAGCACCAUGACUCCCAGGGUGUUAGCAUUGGCCACCUUCUUUCAGCCUGAGUGUGAUCUGGUUCUUGGUCCCACCUGUUCCCACACACCUGUUUCUACAGCAGGUGACAGAUUUGUAUGAGUGUCAAGGAAAUGUUUCUUUAAACUCACUGGACUACAAAGUUUAUUUUUAAUAUCUAGGGAAUACAUGCAAAACGAAUACUUAGUAAAUGUUAUGAAACAUGAUUACUUUGUUUCUCUCUCUCUCUCUUUUUAUUUAUUUAUUUAUUUUUGAUGGUACUGAGGAUUGAACCCAGGACCUCAGACAUGCUAAAUGCAUGCUCUUCCACCCAGCUGCACCCAGCCCUGAUGUUUCUGGUCAAGAAAGACACAGAGCUGAAAGCCGCGUCAGCUCUAUAUUUCCCCCUUUCAACUGAAUUAUUUGUUUCCUUGUGGUUCGACUUUUUUUUUUUUUUUUUUUGGUACCAGGGAUUGAACUCAGGGACACUCAACCACUGAGCCACAUCCCAGCCCUAUUUUGUGUUUUAUUUAAAGACAGGGUCUCACUGAGUUGUUUAGCACCUCACCAUUGCUGAGGCUGGCUUUGAACCCAUGAUCCUCCUGUCUCAGCCUCCUGAGCUGCUGGAAUUACAGGCAUCCGCCACUGCGCCUGGCUUACUAACUUUUGAGAGAUUGUCUUUAAAAAAAUUGAAGUGUGUUUGUGUGUGUAUUCCUCUGGCUCUUAAAGAUGAGAACGUUUUACUCAUUGUACUGAAGGUUACAUUUUAAUGACAAGUGUGGUAGUGUGUGAGAUUAUUCAUUUUCUCACAACAGAGCCAUGAAACAGCACUGUCCCAUUUUAUUUACAGAAACACUGAGACCAGAAAGUUUCCAAGGUUAUAUACCCAAUCGGUUGGCCUGCGAUUUUCUGUUAUCAGUCCUCUCAGAUACCUAAGCAGUUCUUCCGCUGUUGGUUUUACAUGGGCUGAGAUGUUUUCCUGCAGUUCUUAUGCCAACUCUGACCAGCAUUAUAUUUAGUUGAUUCUCUCAUGAUAGGUUUAGAUUGAUAAACUGAUUAGCAGGAAAUGACUCAAUUUUUUUCAUAGUGACUUUAGGAAAUAUACAAAAAUGUGGUCAGAAUUUUAUCUCAAUUUCGGUCUAUGAUUUCAAUUAUGUAUCUUGUAGGUGAAUCCUAUUUCUAAUGUGUGUGUUUUAAAUGAGACUCCAUACUGGCCCCCUGAGUAGACAGAGUGGGUGGCAGCUUUACCUUCCUCACCACACAGGUUUCUGCUGGGUGUUCACUUCUGGGUGACAGAGGUCUCCCCGCUGUGUUUGUGUUUACUAACACUCGUUCUGGGAAUUCUCUUCCAAGCUUGUCAUCUUUGUUUUCCCCCAAACCACCCAGAUUUGCCUUCUUUUUCUACAGAUGCAUAGCCAACUGGCUUCGCUCUCUCUUUUUUCGAGUCUGCAGUGUGUGACUUUGACAAGAUCAGGGGAUUCAGAAACCACAUUUUUGGCUUUGUCCCUGAGGCAGCAGUACCAGCACACUUGCAGAGAAUAAAUGUUUGUACUCCCUGAGUGCAUUCCAGCCAGCAAUGUAGGUGGGAGCUUGUCAAACUUGAUCGCAGGAGCAGGAAGCGAAGUUGGUCCUCAGUGCUUGCGGGUGCUUGCGGGUGGGGUAGCUCCACACUCCUAGGCAUGGCUGCUCCCCCAGAAACUGGCAGUAACCUUCUUUUCCCUCACCAGAAGCCUCUGUGUGGCCACGAGGACAGGGUGCUGGAGGCGUGCCUGUUUGCAGAUGUCCUUUGCUCCCAUCCGGGUGCUUGCUCUCAUCUGACCCCUAUGAUCUUCCAUUGCACUCUUUUAAAUAAAGAAUGCACUUUAAAAAGCACCAAAUUUCCCAUCUCUUUGGGGCUGUGGAAGGUCUGGAAGGUCCAGACUUCAGCCUGCAGAGACAGGGAGGGGAGUCUGUGGACCACCUAGGAGGCACAGAAGCUUUGGCAGUUCACAAGCUAGUGGGGGUGGAGGAACAACUUGGCAUUUAGAGAAAGAGAGAAAACAAAUGUUAGGAUUGAAGAGGACCCAGAAGCAAUCAACUGCAGAGGUUCCCCAAAGCCUAUCUCAGCAUAGGGAUUCACUGCUCUCUUUAACUGACGGGUGGAAGAGGGUGGAAAGGAGAGGAUCCUGCAAAAAAUGUGGUUCUGAUCUCCAAGUUUAUGAUCCACUGGAAACGUAGCCCUCUCUCCAAUCCCCAUUAUACAGAUGAAGCCCAGAAUAGGGACAUGACUUUUCCAAUAUUUACGACCCUUUAGUAGUGAAACAAGAAUACAAAUUCCAACAACUCAUUGGUCAUUUCUCAGUCUAGUACAAUACAGAUAUAACGCUCUUUCAGAGGGAAAGAGUGUUCUGUGGCCAUAAUGAUAAGAACUCAAAUGCUGAGCAAAUAGUGGAAAAAUAAAAAGGGGGCGGUGGGUGCAGCAGAUCACUAGGGUACUGCCGAGGUGCCAACACACACUCCUCACUGUGAGGCUGAAUUCAGAUUCUGCACACAAAGGCCAGGCAUGUCAUACAGAUAAGAAAAACAUGGUCUGGACUGGAAAAUGAUUGCUCCAGAGAUGCCAUUGGCCCUGCUCCUUCCGUCUUCCCUCUCAAGGCCUGGGAUACAGUCAAGUGAGUUUGCCCUGAAGAUUAAGAGGCCCAGAGCUGAGGAGAUCAUUACAACUCCUGAGUUCCCAGCACAGAUCUGAGGGUGGGAGCAUAUGAUACGGUUGUGUUUUUAAAAAAAAAAAAAAAACAACAGCCCAAGAAGCCCUGAAGGAAAGAAUAUCUUAGGUCAAGUGUUAGGAAAAACUUGCAAGAACCCAGAGCUGUUUCUCUGAUGCUCUGGGGAGCUUCUUUCUCUGCCACGUUCAUAUCUUGAUUUUAUUUUUUUUCCACAACAACACAGCAAAGCAGAAACGAUCAUUCUGCAGAUCAAGUUCAGGUCAAUUUCUUGGGUUGUCUGUCUUGCUUCUGUGCUUUGAAGGAAUUUGUUUAGUAGAUACAGCAGACAAGCAGCCGCCUGGCCUUUCCCCCAGUUCCAGUCAGCACCAAGUCUCUGCAAGUGAGGAACAGGGUUCUCCUUAACCCUUCAGAUGGUGCCAGGGCAAAUUCCACAGAGCAAUCACGAGUCAAGGGACUGCCUCUGGCCUGGAGGUGCCCAGCCGGCUGGAAUUACAGGAUGGCUUUUCCCGCUGUAGGCAUUCACGCAAGCUGUUGUUAUUCUUCCUCCUCUAGCAAAAGAAAGGAAAAUCCCAGUGCUCAGCACACUGGGGCUGACUCACGGACUUGCGUUUUCUGUCCUGGAACAGGGACUGGCUCAGCGAGACACCUCGAGCUGAUAUUCUAUAGCCAAGAUGCCUGCCUCUGGUGGGCCACAGGGGAGAGUUGCCGCUCGGGAGUCUCAAUGCCCCCUUGGAAUGAUACCAGUCUUCAUUAUUUAACAGUUAUUCAGCAUCAGAGAAAAUGUAGCCCAAGAAAAAGGCUGAACUUACAUGACUUCCCCAAUAGGAGUGUUUUAAGAAUUAGAUACAGAAAUCAGAUCGCAUUAAAUAGUGUAUUUCUAAGCUGAGUGCGUGUUAAAUUUCCUAAUGGGCCAAACAGGGAAACAGAGAAGGUAGUUGCGGAUGCCCAGUGUUGUUGGUAUAUCUGUAACUAGAAGCAUGUGGACCUGAUGAGCCAGUUUUUGUGCCCUCUGACCUUGAGGCUUCCCAAGCACUUUGGCACCUGAAGAUGCCCAAGAGACCUGUCUUCAUGUUCCAUGUACUGGCAGCUACUGAGACAAUAGUGACAUUGACCCAAAUGUAGGAGCCAGACUCUUAGAGGCCUCUGUAGUAACCAUUUUAUAUACAUAAUGUCCUCUAAGAGGUUUCAUUUACCAAAUAAUCACUUACUAUAGCAGUUGUCUAGGUGUGGCCUUGUGAUUCCCAGGAGCCCAGGAACACUUCAGGUUACCCAGUGCAUCUAAACGGAGCCCACAGUUGUACUAAGAUGCCAUUUACCUUUUUCACCAUAUUGAUACUGUGCUGAUGGUGUAAAAGCACUGGUGAAGAAAACUCCUGAGCAGUGGCACCAAACCAUGAUUAAGCAGCUGUAACUGUCACUGUAUUCUAUAUUGCAACACAUUCAUACUAAAAGGAAAGUAAAAGAAAAAGUCCCACUAGGUUUAUUUAAGAAUGCCCUUAGGUGGAUCUCAGGGUGUAGUUCAACAGUUGGGUGCUUCCCUAGCAUGCAUGUGGACAUGGGUUUGAUCUCCAGAAACAAAGGGAAAAAAAAGUAUUUGAUGAAGCUGUGCAAACUACUAAUUUUAUUGCCUUAAAACCCUUAAAUACACAUCCUUUUAAUAACCCAUGUGAUGAAAUAGGAAACGUGCAUGAAGCCCAUCUACUGCAUAUGGAAGUACAAGAUUUGUCUCAGGGAAAAACACUUGUAUAAUUGAGUUACAAGCUAAACUAUCUACUUUGGUCAUGGAAUUCCAUUUUUCACUUUGGUAUUUGGUAGACAUUCUCUCAAAAAUAAACAACCAAACCUGUCACUUCAAAGAAAGUACUUGAGAGUAUUUGUCUUCAGUGGUAAAAUUUGAGUUUUUAAGCAAAAAUUAAAAUUUUGGAAAACUUGUAUUAGCCACCAUGAGCUUCACAGCUUAUCAAUAUUUAAAGUGUUUAGUGAUGAGAUCAACGGUGAUGUCAACAAAUUCAACGUUUUGUUUGAUUUUUGCAGAGUUGUGGAUUCAACCCAGGCUCAGGCAUGCUAGGCAAGUGCUCUACCACUGAUUUACACUUCCAACCCCUACAAAUGCAAUUUUUAAAUGCAGUAUAAUAUAAUGUACAUUCAGGAGAUCUAUAAAACUCAGUGAUACAGAAUUUUCCAAAUGACCGAUGCCUGAUGUUAAAAACAUGCAUAAGCAAAAUAUUCAAGGCACAAAACAGAUCAAUAAUUUUUAUGUGAUACAAAUGAAAAAAAUGAUUCACGUGGCUUUAGACUCUGCACUGCAAUUUCCCUUUGAGAAACUAAAAUUCAUGCAGUUUUGGUGUAGUAUCAAAACAUUUCACACACUUAUUUGAAAAGAGUCAUAAAAUAUCCCUCUCUUUUCCAAUGACAAGUCCAUGUGAUGCCAGAUUUUCUUUGUAUACUUCAACUAAAACAAUAUAUCUCAGCAGAAUGAAAGCGGGAACAGAUAGAAUCCAGCUGUCUUCUAUUAAGUCAGAUGUUAGAGAUUUGCAAAAAUGUAAAACAACGUCAUGCUUCUCACCAUUUUGUUUUGUUUAGGAAAAUCUAGUCUUUCAAAAAUAAAAAUAUAUUACUUAACAGUAGCACAAAAUGGACUAACAUAUCUUUAAGCAUCUUAAAUUUGUUUCCAUUUUUCAUGUGGUAAAUAUCUAUAGGUAUAAUACAAAUAAAUAAAAACCCUUUAGGAUUCGCAAUACUUUUAAGACUGUAAAGGGGUCCUGAGCCCACAUAUUUGAAAAAUGCUGACCUACUGAAACCUCACAUAUAAGGGCAUCCUAUAUGGGAAGCUUAGCAGAGCAUAGGAGCAUAUGUUUGAGAGUCCUGCAGACUCCAAAUUCUAACUUAGGAUUCAAAUUCUGACUUUGCCACCUACUAGCUAUUUGACUUAACAACUUAAUUGUUCCAAGAGCCAGUUUCUUCAUCUGUAAAAUGAGAAUAGUAGCAUGCACCUUAUAGAUCAUCUGAGGGUUAGAAUAAGUUUGAACAAUGCAGUUAGCAUAAGGCUUAAUGGUAGGUGCUUAAGUGCCUGUUGAUGCAUAAACUCAGCAUGAUGUUCAAAAUCAGCGGGUGCCUUUGGUUUCAAGGGACAGAAAUGGUUUCAAGGUACCUGCAUGUAGUUCACCCUGUGACUACCUUCUAUUACAAAAGUCUAGAGACAGAAGAGUGACAUCCUAAGAAUCAGGUGCUCUUAUAUAACCUAAUACGUAUUUGGUCUCUCUGCUGGGUCCCUCAGUGCUGGCCUUCCCCUUUAGGCAGAGAGCAAGAUAGCAACAGCAGUUCCCAGGGGUCAUGUUGAGGCAGGAUAAUGUGCUGAGGAAAAAGAGAGAUUUUUUUCUUCCCUAAGCUUUCUCUGAGGAUAAAGAGGAAAUUUUUCCAGACUUUCACAUUUCACUGAUUUGAAUUUGGUCACAUGUCCAUUCCUGAGCCAAUUCCUGGCCUGGGGCAAGGGGUGUCCUUGUGAUCGGUCAGGCCCACUUCCGGGCUGGAGGUGGGGGCAAGCUUCCUGGAGGCCCAGGUCUGGUGGGGAUGGCUGGUACCUGAACAGAACCAUGGGGCUCUGCUAGUAUGGGAGGAAGGGGUAUAAAAGGAACAAAGUAGGCAAUCCCACAGGACCCACCGUGUUCAGUAAAUGGAGUCUAGAACAGUGGGUCCCAAAUAAGACUGGCAGACUGUCUAAGUAGGAAUCUCCUGGGAGCUUGUUAAAAAACAUAAUUCAAACAGUGAUUUGCAUAUAAAUUGCCUGGGGAUCUUGUUAAAGUGCAGAUUCUACAUUUGUAACAAGCUCCCACAUAAUGUAGCUGCUGGUGGUCUGUGGACCACACUUUGAGUAGCAAAGAUGUAGAUGUCCCACUUCCAAUUUGCCAACUCGGGUCUCCCAGAUGAUCCUGGUUUGAGAACAGGGUUCAGCGUGGUGGAACAUCAACAGUCCACUAGACUGGCAUUCCUUCACUCGAUAAGCAUUCAUGAAAGUCUAUACCUGCCAAACCCUGUGCUUCUCACUGAAAUGACAAAGCGCCCACGAUCCGGUGGGCAGGAGUCAAGGGGCAACUACAAGCAGGAAUCUAUAAUGAAAUGGAGAAGCGCUCCCCUAGAGACAGGCACAGAGAGUUCUGUGAUGAAGGAGUGACUCACGCGGAAGGUGGGGUUGGCAGGGAAGCUUUCUUAGAUGAAGAGUAGGUGCCCAGAGUUAGACAAUGUGCAUACGAAAUGUGGAGCCAUGAGUGAGCAGAUCUAUUCAGGACACAGCUAGUGUGCCUCCGAGGCUUACAGACAGGCUAAAAUAAGGUGCAGGAAGAAAAGGUCAAGUUAAUCUGGGGCUGGAGCAAGGGGCCUUGAAGGCCACAUUAAAUCACUCUGUAGUUAUUUUCAACCUUGACCGCACAUCAGAGUCACUAGGAUAGCUUUGGCAACUGUACUGUCCGGGCCACGCCCUAGGUCAACUAAAUUCUACUCGCUCUGGGCAGUGAGAAGGUGGGAGCCUGAGCACCUUUUAGAGCAGGUGAUGCAGGGUGCUGAGUUGAGAACUGGACUGGUGAGCAGACACCUGCCCAACCUAUUUGCAUAAGACUUGCUCUUAGGGUGGCCAGUGUCCACCAUUCUUAAAUGCACUUCUCAUUUCCAUUUGAUAUUCAAAAUCAGAAUUAUUAAAAGAUUUUCAUGCCCUAGAGACCCUGCAAAGGGCACUGGGAAGAAGCACCCUCUGCAUGGGGCCUGCCCUUUGUCCCCUGACCAAACAGGUGAAAGAAGACCCUGGGAAGCCCCGCCCUGGGCAGAGGGCACCGCCUUCACUGGCCUGAACCAUGGGAUCCCUAAAGAGAUGAGCCUGCCGAGUGUACAUCUCCUGCUCCUUCCUUGUUUACUAACCUAAUACGUAUUUGGGAUCUGGGGAUAUUUUCUGGGGAUAUAUCUGGGGAUAUAUUGAUGAGAGGAAAGAUGAAUCCAUUGUGAGGGGUGCAGAAGAGUCUUCUGGAGGCGCUCCUGGUAUGAAUCCAAAACGCCUGUCCAUACUCAGCAGCUGAAACGUCCUAGUUAAAAAAAAAAAAAAGCCCUUCUCUCAUUUGACACUCCUAAAGUCCUGGAAUAAUCUUUAAGGUAUCCAAAUGUUCCUAUGGCACAUUUGUAGUUAUCCCUCAAGUUGCUGAAUGUUAGGGGUAUUUUAAAUUUUAAAGCCAAUAGUUAAAAUGAUUCCAUGCAUAAAACAUAAAUCCAGCUAAAAACCAGCAUCCCAAACUUUGUUUGCCCUCUGGUCCAUUUCCCAGGUUUGAGUCAAUAAAAUAUUCAGUGUCUUUAAAGAAUGGAGGAAGCUCUUGCCGAAGGGACAAUGGAGAACGGAGGCUGCUAUAGGAAGAGGCCAAGGAAUGGAGGUGGGGAGGCUCCUGAGAAUGACCUCCAGCUGCCCAGGCUUGGUGUAGCUUGGUGACUAACUUUGAUUGUGCCCAGUUUUACAGUGCUCCCUCCACCCCCCCCACCCCACAACACCUAGGAGGUGAAGUGACUCACUUCAUUUUCAGAAGCAAACUGUCUUUCAGGAAGACUUCUGGGGUCCCCUUUGCUCUUCCAGGGAGAGGCCCCAGAGGAGAGAGGCACUGUACCUCUUCAUAGCACUUAAUGGGCUUUUCCAAGUAAUUCUGCCCAUCCCUUCCCGCAGGGAUGAAGUGGUGUGCCAUCACCUGAGAAGAAAAGAAGACAAAUGCUUCUCUGCAGUUCUGAUUCAAAGAACUGGGUCCUCUGGAAAGGAUGGGCUUUUACUCCUGCUGUGCAGAUGUGUCUGGGAAGUCAGGCCAGAGCUAGUGCCAAAAGGGAGCUGCCCCUCCUUGUGCCUGGGUGUACCAGUGUGUGGGUGGCCUGGGGCAAGCUGACUCGGGGCCUGAGUCCCUGAGCAGGACCCCUGGCCACUUGUAAGAAGAGUAUGUAAUUAAACAAGCUUAACAGCCCCCACCCCAAGCCUUCGUCCCACAGCCCUGGAGGACAGACUGUCCGGCAUCCUCUGCGGCACAGUGGCCUCCCAUUCCUGCGGCUGUGGGCUGCUCCGACCACGCUUGCUCACCCAAGGCCCUGCUUGGAUACAAACAAGCCGGCCUUUGAUGACAGGAAGGGAGUGGAGCCUCCCUCGGGCGUCCGGGUUUUAAUCUCGGUUCUGGGGGACAUUACCUCCCUCUUUGUGAAUUACUGAUUGCUUUCAAAAUACCGGGAAUUAUUCUUUUACCUUACAGGGUUAUUGUGCGCUAUGAUUAAUUUAGCGGAGGCUCUUAGAAAACAGUAAAAGCUGAAUGGCCUUAUUAGUUGUCAGUUUUUAAAAACGGCACUUUAGCAUCCCUGGGCAGCUGGUUUGAUGAGAAGUGCUACUUACUGUGACCCUCCUGCAUGGCCCUUCUUCACUGAAUCUCCCGGGCCUUUUAGUUCCUUUGAUGAAAAUGCACUGCUUCCGAAUGAAUCCAAUAAACAUUAAGCAGGGAUGACAAUUUUAUCUUUGGAAAAAAAAAAAAAGCAAGCCGAGUUUCUAACAAGGAAGAAGAAAUAAUUUCAUGCUAAUUAGCAGGGUGAGACACAGCCUGCCUUUUGGAGAUAGAAAGGACAAAGGUUUGGAUUUAAAGUUGAACUAAAAAGCAUCUGCCUUAAGAAAACUCAAUAUGAAGAAGCCGCUCACAGCAAGGGACCCCACUCCAGCCGUUGGUGUCCCUUCCCCUUCCCCCUUUUGCCUUUUCCCACCCAUUCUUUCAUGCCAAACAGCACAGACAAGAGAACAAGUCUUUGUAAGUCGCACUUGUACAUCUUGGAUGGUGAGAAAGGCCUGGAUUAUGGAUGCAGGGGACAGUCUGGCCAUGGGACGAGCCUCGCCCAGCGCUGUGGAUUCCACAUUCUUUCCCUGGAGGGGAACAGUCACAUUUGCCACAUUGCCUGCAAGCUUGUGCUGCCAGCCAGGUGGUCAGCAAGUGCCCGGAGCACAGGGCUCUCCUGAAACCUGCCCAGUUUCUGCCUGUCUCCAGGGAUACACCAAGAGGUGCCGAGCACAUCUUGUUUGGCAGUUUUAAAAUUGCUCUGUACAUGUGUUUUUAAUUUUUAUUUAAUAAAGGAACAAAUGCUUUCUAACAAAAGACCAACUGGCGAUUAACAUCAGUUCCGUGGAUGGCGGAGGAACUCGAAUAAAACUGAUAUCCAUCUUUACGAGGGAAGCCCACAGCUGCCAGCUCUCCCAGAACUCUGCUGCUCUGAAGCUGGUCUCUCCACUUUCCCGGGGCCUGCCUUGUUUCCGCCUGGUCAUUCUUUCUAUCUUGCUGACACAAUGGCUCAGCUUUUGUCCUCCUGGUUUUGAUUACCAACUGGUCUUUAUUUUCAAUGUAGUAACUGGCCAAUUAAAUAGAAAUUAGCUACAUUUGGAGGCAGGGCUCCUGACUGGUGCCUCUUCCUUUGGCAAGUGCUCAUUCUUCUUUAGGCUUUUCUGAGAGCAGAAAUCCCAAAGGCAAAGUGCAGCACCACGUGCCAAGGCCCCCAGGGCAGCCGCCACGAGACGAGACGCAGGGUUAAAGCCAAUCGGGAUGGAUGCUCUGCUCCCCAGGAGGAGGGGGAGCAGGGCGGUGCUGGCACUGGAACCACUUCCUGUUGUGAUUUGGUUAAACCCCUUCUGAUUCAAGACAGACUCUCCUACCAGAAGGUCAGGCUAUUUCACCCAAGAAGGGAAAAGAUAAAUAAAUAAAUAAAAUCCUCUUCUGCUCUUCUGUGUCAUUCAGGGCAGCUGGAACACAUCUUUGUUUCCACCCAAACAUUGACCACUGUUGGCCGGGUGAAGGAGGGGCUCCUUCCUGGGCUGGGUGGAGCAUACUGGCUACAUGAGUGAGGUCAGGCCUGUAGCCUAGAUCUACCACAGACAGCCUGUGAUAUGAGGCUGUGGGGCAGGACUGGAUCCAGGGGCUCUGGGUGCUGACCCAGGGCCUAGAUUGUUGAGGCUAACUACUUGAAGCCCGUGUCCAGAGGUGCCAGUUCAGUGCCUGGGGCUCUGAGUACCAACAUGGAGCUGGAGUCCACAGAUGCUGACCCGGCAGUGAGGUGGAUGUAAAGCCUGGGGUGGCAGGGACUGCCCUGAUGUUGAGCCUGGAGCUGGGACAGCAGGGGCUGGGACAGGUGCUAGGGUCCACAGCAAUGUCUCCUUCCCCAUGCAGGGAUUGCCUGGACUUAGGGAAAGGGUGGUAUGCGACAGGUGAGCCUGUCUCUGUCCCACACUCAGGUUUCUUCAUCUUUCGCCUGGAUUCUCAGCUCAUGUGAAGGCAUUCUCAUGUGUGGGAGCUCCUCCAGCCAAUGUUUCGGUGAGGGGAUGAGCACGAGGAAUUCCCAUUACACCAUUGUGCUAUGACAGAGUGCUUUAAAUAUCACAAUGAAUACGUUAAAGACCAGAAUGAAAAUGGUAAAUAAAAUCCAGGAUUAGGUAGCCAAUUUCAGAAAAGAAACAGAAACCUUAAGAAAGAAUCCAAUGGAACUGCUUGAAAUAAACAAAACCAAACACAAAAACAGUGAUAAAGAGUUGUGAUGAGGGGCUAGAGCUGUGGCUUAGAGGUAAAGCACUCGCCUAGCACAUAUAAGGCCCUGGGUUCAAUCCUCAGCACCACAUAAAAAUAAAAUAAAGGUAUUGUGUCCACCUACAACUAAAAAAUAAAUAUUAAAAAAAUUGUGAUGAUUUGGAACUUAACUGUCCUUAAACUCACAUGUUAAAGCAUGGUCCCCAGCUGACAGUGCUGCUGGAGGUGGAAAAAUCUUUAGGAGGUGGGCCUAGGGGGCCAGAACUGAGGUCCUUGGGGGUAUGUCUUUGAAGCUGCUAUGGAGACCUUGGUCCUCCUUUCUCUCGGCGACCAUGAGCCGGCUGCCUGGCUCUCCCAUUUGCUUCCUGCCUGAUGUUCUGCUUCACCAUGGAUCAAAACAAUGAGACCAAGCAGCCAUACACUGAAACAUCAAGCCAAAGUAAAAUUUUCCCCCUUUAAGCCGAUUUUCUCAGGUAUUUUGUCACAGCAGUGGAAAGCCAACAAAAGAACGACUUGGGCAAUUUUGUUAGUAGACUCACAUGGCCAUGGCAAAAAUCAGUGAUUCUGAGGAUAAUCAAUAGAAUUUAACAAAAUUGAAACAUGCAGAAAAGAAUGGGAGAAAAAAAUAGAGGCAAACCUUCCAGAGCUGCAGAACAAUAUUAAACUUUCUAACAUAGGCGUAAUUUGAGUCUUAGAAGUAGAUGAUUGAAACAUAGUUGGUGACUAUGUUUUCCUCUCAUGACCUUUUGGGGACACAUUGAAACCAUAGUACACAGCCAUGCUCAUCAUAAUACUUACACUGCUGAAAGCCACCAACAGGGAGGGUAGAUUGGAUGCAGCCCGGCUGGGCGGGGGGUGGGGGGGUGGGGAAGAAUGUUAAAUCCUGAGAGCAAAACAGGCUUAUUGUCAGAAAUAAUGCAAACUGAAAGACAGUGUAGAGACAUCUUUAAAGUCCUGAAAGAAAAGAAGAACUAGCAACUGAUAUUUCUAUAUCCAGCCAAAAUAUAUUUUAAAGAAGAAGAAAGAAAGGACCUUCUCAGACUACAAGAACUGAGAGAAGUUAUUGCCAUGGGGCCUACUCAAUAAGAAAUGUCAGAGAAAGUUCUUCAAGCACCAAGAUUAUGACAUCAGGCUCAAAUCUGAAUCCACACAAAGAAAAAAGGACUCUGGAAAUGGAAUAACUGAAUAAAGUUAAAAUAAAAUUCAUCUUUCUUAUUUUUAAUUGUUCUAAAAGAAAACAGACUGUCAAAAAAAACAGUCUUAGUGGCAAUGUAUUCUGUUUUUGUUUGGUAAAAUGAAAGGUGAGAGAAGACAGCCUGAGGGGCUGGGCUCUGAAUGUGUCCCUCAAACGCACAGGAUGAAACUGAUUCAUUUGUGGGACAAUAGGAAGAGGUCGGGAUUUGGGGUGACGUGCCCUCAUGUGUUAAGUGGGGACUUAAGAACCUCAUAAAUGUUGUGGGAAGCCACCUCCUUCCCUCUGCCCUUUCCCCUCUGACUUUGUCUUGUUGAGUCGCAGGGGUCUGGCGCCCACUUGAAAGCAGAGAGAAGUUUUCACCACAUCCCAAACCUGCUGGCCCCUUGAUCUCGAACUUCUCAGCUUUCAGAAUUGUAAGAAAUAAAUUGAUUAUUUAUGGUACCCAACUUGAAGUAUUCUGUUUAUUGCAGCAGCUCAAACGAAUGAAAACAUGAUGGAAUGGAAAAGUUAAGAAUUUAACUGGGGUUGUCAUUGUAGCUCAGGAGUGGAGCGUUUGCCUAGCAUGGGUGAGGCACUGGGUUUGACCCCUGGCACCACAUAAAAAUAAAAACAAAUAAAAUAUAGGUAUUGUGUCCAUCGACAACUAAAAAAAUAAUAAAAAAGAAUUUACUACUGCUAGGCCCUUAUACAACAUGGGAAGCAAUAUAAUAUUUGAAGGUAGACUCAGAUUAAUCAAAGAUAUAUAUAUAUAUAUUUACCAUAGAGAAUUCUAGAGAAAGUACCAACAAGUAUUUUAAAAGAGAAGUGAAUACUUCAUAAGAGAUAAAGGAGAAUUAUAAGAAAAACUCAGACAAUGCAAGAAAAGACAGAAAAAGAAGCAAAAGGCAGAUGGAAUAAGUCAACUCUCCUUAAUUAGGACAGAUUAGUUAAAAGUAAAGGGACAGAGCUGGUUGUGGUGGCUACCACCUUCAAUCUCAGCCACUUGGGAGGUUGAGGCAGGAGGAUUGCAAGUUGAAGGCCAGGUCAAUUUAGCAAGACCCUGUCUCAAAAAAUAAAGAGCUGGAAAGAUAGCGCAGAGGUAGAGUGCUUGUGGGUUCAAUCCUUAGUACAAACACACACAAAAUCAAAAAGGGGUAGAGAAAACUAUGCUAAGCAAAAGUUAAUAUAAAGAAAACCAGAGCCAGGUGCGGUGGCACACGCCUUUCAUCCCAGUGACUCAGAAGGCUGAGGCAGGAGGAUUGUGAGUUCAAAGCCAGCCUUAGCAAAAGCAAGGCACUAAGCAACUCAGUGAGACCCUGUCUCUAAAUAAAAUACAAAAUAGGGCUGGGGUUGUGGCUCAGUGGUCAAGUGCCCCUUAGUUCAAUCUCUGGUACUGUCCACCAAAAACAAAAAAGAAAAAGAAAAGAAAGAAAAAAGAAAGCCAGAAUAGUUAUGCUAAUACCAAAGUGUACUUCAGAACAAGGAAUCUUAUGAGGGGAUAAAGAGAUUUCAUAAUGAUAUUGGGCUUCAACAGACAUAAGGCAAGAAGAAAAGGAACAGAAAGAGAAAAUAGACGAUUUUUAAAUUUUUUUUUCAGUUGUUGAUGGACCUUUAUUUUAUUCAUUUAUUUUUCUGUGGUGCUGAGAAUCGAACCCAGUGUCUCAUAUAUGUGAGGCAAGUACUCUACAACUGAGCCACAACCUCAGCCCCAAAAUGGAUGAUUUUUAUUGGAAUCUUCAACAUGCCUCUUUUGUUAAUUGAUAGAAGCAGCAGAGAGAUGAAUACUUGAAUAUAGAGGACUGAAAAAAUGCUAUCGACAACUAGGUAAAUUGAUACAUAUAUACAUAAAUAUAAAACUCCACCCAACAGCAAAAUACACUUUUUUCAAGUACACAUGGGACAUUCAUCAAAAUACAUCAUACUAAGGGUCAUAAAAUGAACAUCAACAAAUUUAAAAGAACCAAAACCAUACAAACUAUCUCUGACCAUAAUUUAAUGAAAUUAGAAAUCAAUAACAGGAAGAUACCUAAAAAAAACCCUUCAAUAUUUGGAAAUUAAACCUGUACCUUCUAAUAAGCCAGUGGUCACAGAGAAAAUCUUGAGGGAAAUAAGAAUUUUUUAUUGAAAGAAAAUAAAACUGCAACAUAUUAAAACAUGUGUGAUCCAGCUGAGCAUUCUGUCCUCAUGAGUAGACCAACACCAUUACUGCAAGACUGGGUUUGUUGUCUCAGGAGUGGGUUUCUGGGCAUGCACCCCCACUUUCUUCUCAUGUGAUGCCUUCCACCAUGCUGUGAGAAAGCAAGAAGGCCCUCACCACACUCAGCCCCUGGACCUUGGACUUCCUGGCCUCCAGAACUGCAAGCCAAAUAAAUUUCUGUUAAUUACCAAUUACCCAGUCUUAUAUUACAGCAACAUAAAAGGGAAAGACACAGAUACAUCUAUAGACAUGUACAUGUAUGCAUUACUAUAUGUACUGACAUACACACAUACCUACCACGUGCAUCCUAUAUUCUUUUGUAUCUAUCUCUCCUAGCCCUGUCCACUCAGAAAGGCUAGAAACAAGGACAUUUCAGUAAAGAGGAGAGUGCCUAAUUCCCAGUAAUGUUGGUUUUUCAAUAUCACUGUCCAAUAAAAAGAACCAGGAAUCCUUGGAGAACUGUCUGAUUCAGGGCUGGGGCAAUGGAAAUAAAGAUGAGUCUGGAAAGCUUGUGGUGUUGCAAUGUAAUAUAAUUCUUAAAGAAAAAAAUUUUAAAUAUAUUUAUAUUAUUAUUUAUUAAUAUAUUAAAAUGCUCCUCUCUCCUUCAGCACACAAAAAAAUACCUAUUAAGCUAACAGUCAUAGCUGUUUUAGUCCACUUAAUGCCGCUGGGAUAGAAUUCCAUAAUACAUAAAUAAAGCACAUGAACGAAUCCAAAAGCUCCUAGUAAUCAAAGCUGAAACAAUCUGAACAACAAAGUAUGUAACAAAAUCACAUUGUUAGAUUAUAACCCAAAUAAUAAAGUAAAUAUCCAUGAUUAAAUAAAUAAGAGAGGGAGAAUGAGCUCUUCUCUAGAGAAGAGUCUUGGUUAAUCAAUGCAGAAGCUCUGAGGGAAACCCCAGCAUUCAGUACCAGCUAUUACCGCACUAGCAAGAGCCCACCAUGCCACAAAGAGCGGGUGAAUCUCUAAGUAGAAAUGAGAUUUUUGCUUGGUCUCCAUGCAUCUCUGUGCUAUUUGUACAGUCCUUUAUUAAACCCCAAGGUAUUUCAAAAUAAAAAGUAAAAAUAAUAAUAAAAAGCAAAACAAUGACACACAAAGAUGUUUUCAAUCUAUUAAACUUUAAAGAGUAGUAGGAUUCUGAUUUUUGUGCACCUGCGCAUGCGUACACACAUGGAAUUUUUUAAAAAUCAGUUUGUUUAAAAAGAAUUUCAACUAAAGCAUAAAAUAUAGUUCUCUUUUAGGGUGGGAAUAGUGGUGAUUACAAUUUUAUGUCAUUUUUAUUUUGAUAUUUUAUUAUUAGAGUUAUCAUUUAUCAGUACUUUCUAAAAUUGUCAACCAUGACCAUGGAUUAAUUGAAUGACACUGUAUCUCAGGUGCUCUUGAAGGACGUCUUGCGUGUCUUCUGAACUUGGCGUUGUGUUGGAGCCUGCACCGCGGGGGCCGUCAAAGUGAACUGUUGACUUGAAGCCCUGCCUUUCCAUUGCCUUUUGCAACAUAGUCCCGCUAAUUUAAAUUCCCAUAGGGCACCUUUCUUAGUGCUUGGCACAAAGUGCUCAGUGAUAAUUCAGUUACAAAUAUCAGUUCUGCUGUAUUUAAAUUAUCCUUCAGUGAAGUUCACCUGAGAACAUAAAUCAUAGAUGUAUUAUCCAAUAAGUAAAAAGUACAGAAAACAUUUAAAGUUAAGCAGUAUUUUAGAAACUUUAUAAAAUUUAAUUUAUUCAAUACUCAUCACAACUCAAGGGGUGGGAGUACUACUUUUAACCCCGCUUUACAGAUGAAAAAUCCAAGGCCAGGGGUUAAGUAGCUGGCUCAAGGCCACACCGCUCUAGCAGGGAGCACACAGUGAGGUGAAGCACGUCUGUACCCAUCACCAUUUCACCCUCGUGGUACCACCUUGAGUCAGGUACCAUUAGCUCCAAGCGUCAGGUGCAGAAACCCAAGCUCAGAAAGGUAUGGCCUAGCUAAAAGUGGCAGGGCAGGGACGCUGGAUCCCAAAGUUCAUGCACGCUCUUUCAGCUGGAGCAUGCCUUUCAAGCAUUAACAUGGAGUGGGCAAAGCCAAGCAGGAAAUGACCAGAGGAGCGCUGCACUUGGGAUUAAUUCUUUCUCGUCUGCUAAAAUUUCACACCAUCCACCUGCAUGUUUUUUUCCUUCCCUACCAGCUGAGAAUGGUGACAUUUUCUGUUCUCCAGUUUAAACCAGAGAAGCUUGCAAGUACUAUAAUCACCAAGGAAGCUACAUAUUAGCUUACAGAACACCCUCCCCCAUUAAAUUAAAGAGGCAAUAAAAAUGACCAUGCUUCUAUUUCUGGGUCUGUGAGAGAGUGAUUGUGGGCAUUCUCAGGCGAAAAAAAGAGAAAGUGACUUGGUUUUCAGAGAUGAAAUGCUCUGUUGACGAGUUGGCAGGGCUGCCUGGUUUGGGAAAGAAUGUGCAGAAAACCUGAGAGGUGAUUAGUGUGUGGCCCAAACAGCAAGCAUUGGGCUCAGUGUGCCUGGCAGAGGCGGAUGUGGCCGCACAGUUCAUUAACGCUGUAUAGUUGGUUUAAUUCCAGUUGGGGCAAUUAGAGAAAGCUCUAGAACCUGCAUAGAGCUCCAAAAUAGGCUCUGAUCUCAGCAGCGGUGGAUCUAAGCCACCACUUCGGGCCCCAGCAGAUUAGAAGACUAGAAUUCCUUCUCUGACAGUCAUCUCUGUUGAAUUAGUUCAUUUAAGAAAAUUAAAGAUAGCUUCCACUGGAGGAAAAAAAGUAGCUAGGUAAGAUUGUGUGUUGUGUGUGCUUUGUGGCACUUUCUUUGUGGCUCUCCUGAACUGAGCUCUCUCCUAACCCUCCUUUCUUUCUUGCUGCUCUUCCUUAGACCCUGGGAAUCCCAUCUAUGUCCAGAGAUCCUCCAUCUCCACAUUCACAACUCUUGAAAUCCAGUGCUUCUGAAUAGAUCUCUUUGGAAUGGAUCCUAGGUCCAACGGAGCUGGGAUGUAACAUCACCCGUAGCUGACAGGUGCCGCUCUAAAAUACGAGGGGCCCCACUGACAUAAUCACAUGUGAUUCUCUCAAGCAAAUGGCUUACAUUUCAUAAGUUCAUCGACCUUGAAAAUCUAUCGGACGGUUGUGUUUGCAACCCCACACUUUUUCUGUGUGCUCUGAUCCUAGCAACUGUUGGUGAGGAAAGCAGCCCAGCCACUUUGAGCAAAUAAGGAAAGCCGUGCUCUCUAAAUCUCUCCCCAGGUCUUCCUCUUUGUGGUCAGUUGGCCAACAUAUAUUGUAUGGCCUUGAAUCUUUUUAAAAAAAUUAAGACUGUAAUUUUCUUCUAGGUCAGAGAGGCAGAGAACUAUCUGGCAAAUGCCUGUAGCCCAUGUCUUUUGCAGAAGAGAAAGAACAUGUGUGGCCCUUGCUUCCAGGCAUGGGGCAGCCUGGUGUUGCUGAUUUGACCAGAGCUACCGUGUGCCCUGGACAGGACUCCAGCCUCCCAGCACUGGGUACUGACAUCAUGUCCUCUUUACCUGCAUUUUCCUGGCUGUAAGGAGCAAGCUGAUUUCCACCCUGCCCAUCACCCCUCCACCCUCCCACAUCCAUUGAUCCAUGGAGUAAGGCAGAAUACUGUGAGAGCUCUCUCUCCUACCCACUCAGAGGUAGUGAGCACCAACAUCCCCCGCGGGAAGCUCAGUGCUGGUAGAAAGCCCAGCAGGGCUUCCAAUCCCCCAAGCAGCUCAGUGAGAAGAGACCUUGCCCAGAGCCUGCCCAUUCAGCAAUGGUGCGGCCUUCCUGGCUCCCUUCCCUCAGCUCUGGAGCUCAUCACGCCGCCGUGAGCCGCAGGGACUUUGUAGCCGUGUUACUGUAUUAGCACCACAUGGAGACUCCACGGAACUCACAUGCAGAAUGUGUGAUGUCAGACCCGUUUACACAAGUCCAAAUUCUGUGCAGCUGUUCUAUUCAGAUGUUUUGCUUCAUAUCUUUAUGUCAGCAAUCUCCCAAUAAAUCCACUGAUUGUGAGACAGAGGAGCAGAGAGAGUGCUCCGUGCUUACAUGUGUUUCAGAGCCGGGAACCCACAUCACUUCUGUGCAGAUCUGCCUCACUCCCUGGGGGGCACUUCAGAGCGGUGGCUCCUGCGCUCCCAGGACAAGCCCGGUUGGGGCCAUCGAUAGAAAAGCAAAUGCAAAAGGACAGCGGCCCUCACACAAAUGAGAAGCCAUUACCUGGGCUCAGAUGGGUGCUGUCUGAAAUAGAUUCCUGCUAGGGAAAAUUUCAGGAUAGACAUUGCAGUUUCUUUAGAAAGCAUUUGAUAAAAACCAUCCAUCAAAACUAAUUGGCUUCUGAGAAGGGAAAGUGUUGGCUAACGAGUGUCCCUGACUGUACCGCUCAGAGAAUCACCAAGCCUGUCUCAUCGAGAUGAAUCACUGUCUCUCACCAGUAAAAGAAAACCUUCAAAGGUUGCUAUCCAAAUAAUGCUGUAUUCAAAAAUAAAUAGCUCUCAACAUUUCCUUGGUAUUCAGGAACGAAGGCCACACAUUUUUUUUAAAUGCCUGGAUUUUUACAGUUAUAUAUACUGUUUAUGAGUCUCCAUACUAUGACUAGACGUGUUAUUUAAAAAUAAAGGCGGAGAGCUGUAGAUUUUCUGUGACUCACUUUGGGUAGGCUGUGUUUCUUCAUGGUUUGUUAAAGAGACAGGGCUUUAGGGACAAAAAAAAAAAGGAGGGCAAGAAUUCUCUGCUUGUCUGGUCAGCUACAGGCUGUUUCUGGGCCUAAACUAAAAUUUGAUUUCAGGUUUACUUUCUCCCUUUUCCCAUCACGACCCUCCAUGUCAGGCCCUUUUGCAGGCUCCUUGUGAGAUGCAGAGCAGAGCUUUGCAAGCACAGGCCCAGUCUGAAAGUGGCUCAUGCCCAGGAUGACUGCAGGAGGGAAGGUCCUGUUGACUAUCUCCCCACCCCUGUCAUAUUUGUUGUAUGGGUUUUGGAAAAUCAGAGAACACAAAAAAACUCCAGCUUUUCUUCUGUAGAAGAGGGGAAACAGUGAGCUGCAGCAUGCUGAGAACAUUCUGGGGCCUGCUUCGCAUUCCAGAUGCAUGGCAUGCUUAGCUACUUGGGACUGAAAACCCCCAGCCGGGGCACACAGAAGAGAUUCUGUGAGCUCCUGGGCUCUCUUUAGACUCUGGCCCUUGCUGCUCAGCCAUCACAACAGCGACGGGAGACAGCAACUCCUCUGGGUAUUUGGGGGAAGAUCUUCCAGGCAGAAUCUUCCUAAAUGUGGUCAGAGAAUAGAUUCCAAGGCCACAACAAGGCAGGAGUGUGCUUGGAAUAAUCUGUCUCCAUUCCAUCUGGAAAACGUCCCUUUGGAUCUGGGGAGGGACGCUGAUGGUCUUACAGCCUUUCAGAGUACAGUGUGGACUCAAUGUCGUAACUCGGGUCAGGUAAGUCAUGUGGCAGCAUGUGGCUGACAAGCCACUGUGGAGAUCCUCAUGUAGGAGAGCAUGGAGGCCCAGCGGCAAUCCUAGUGAUCAUACAAGCACCUCAGGGUGUGAAAGCUAAAUCUCACGGAAGGCUCAGCUCUUGGUGAAUGAGAACCUUCUGAAUGAUUUUGUACUCAUUUUUUUUUUUCAUGACUCAUACCACUUAAGACUAAGCUGCCAUGAUUCCAUUAACAGCCUUUGUUUCCCUGGGAUAAAUAUAUAUCCAUUCAGAGAGGAUAUGUAGGAAUUUACGGCACAAAACAAACCUUAUAGUAAAAAAUACUCUGUACCAUAUGUCUGCUUUCCGGAGGUGGUUUUAUUCUUAUUUUAUUCCUGUUUUCUGUAUCUCUUACUCUCAUCCCCGCAUGUCCUGAAAAGAUUACUCAUCUCUGAGUGAAAUAAUCCAUUAGCUCUCCCACUGCAGAACAUCCUUUAGCUUCCUCCUACCAAAGGAUUGAGAGACUUAAGGACGACAUAUUCAAGCACAUACAUUUAUAGAUAGAUUGACCAAAGUCCUUUUAAGCCACCAUUGACUAUGCUAGAAAUGUAGCCUAUAUGUCUAAGGAUCUCACUUACCAGGGCAACACUGACAACACUGAACAAUAUUCGAUCAUAUCUUUCCGUUCUUUUCUCCUUUCGGCAUUCCAUUUAUACAUGUAACCCCUUUUGAUACUGUCUUCGGUUCUAGAAUGUUCUGGAUUUUUCCAUUUUUUUUUUCUUUUUGUGUUUCAGUUUGGAACUGUCUUCAGACUCAUGGACUCCUCCCGAGGCCAUGACCAGGAGAAGAACCGAUGGAAGGCAUUCUGGGUUCCCAUUCGUCUCUCAUUUCUAGGGUUGCCUUCUGAUCCUAAUGAUUUCCAGCUCUCUGCUAAUAGCCCUCCCUGGUGCUGCAGGCUGUCUGCUUUUCCUUCAGAGCCAUUAACUCACCAGCUGUCUCAGAUUCCUCGGCUGAACAUGCCAACGUCUGUGCCACACCUCGAUCUGGUUUUGAUGAUCCCUUUGUCCCUCAGCCUACUUUCUCUUGUCUUUUAGUAUGCCUUGUACUUUUUGUUGAAAGCUGACAGGAUGUACUCGUGACAGGCACUGAGGGAAAGGCCAUGCUGUGGGGAUGUACAUUAAUCUGACUUGGAGUUGGGCUUCACUGACUCUUUGUUGUAUUAAGUUCCACAGGAUUCAAAUUCUUCCAGUGACCUUGGUUUUGUCUCCUGUCUUGGCUUUGGCCUCCCUUUGUAUUGUCACUUGGGGAGUGUGGUCUUGCAGUUCUUUUAGCCGUAAGCCACUGAAGGUUUGUUAAUGUGGUGGUCAAAUACAGGGCAGGGGAUGUGUUCUAAAACCUGAUUGUCAGGUUUUCAUGGGCCUGUGUCUUGUAUGUGGCCACCACAGGUGUCUCUGCCUUUCCUCCCUGAGCACCACCCCAAACCCCACCCUCAGCACCUCACUCCUAUCCCCAGGCUUGGCUGACUAUUUUGUGUUUUUUGUUUUAGGUGAGCCAGGAAGGGUGGAGUUGAGUGGGACUCCCUUUCCCUAGAUAGGAUGAAGGUGAAAUCUCUACUCCUGCAGAGUCGUGUUGCUCUGUUUUGUUAUGGAGAGGAAUCUGGUAGAAUCUGUAGCUACUCUUUCCAACUCCCUACCAGGCCUCAAAGAGAUCCUCACCCAGUCAAGUUGCAGGCAUUCUUGGAGGUCAAGACCUCAAAAUUAGGGGAGAACCCCUUAUGAUUGGGGCCCCAGAUGUCUCUCACUGUCCCCACUCGGCCUCCAGAAACCCAUCACAAUGGCCAGUGCAGUAAGUGGCCCCACGGUCACUCACUGGCUUCUGGGUCUCUUGCUCCAUGCACCUGUCUCCAGAUCUCAGGGUGGGGUUUGUUCAGAAACUUCAGUUCUGCAGCAGAUCUAAGGGAGGCCAUUGGUUUUUAGUUUGUUUAGCUCUUUAUUAUUGUAAGGAUGGGAAUGGUGACUUCUAGUCUUUCUACAUAUGUCAAAAGACAAAAUCACAACAAAAUUUGUUAUGAAUCUAAUCAACUUUAAUUUGCAAUUUGUGAAUUGGGGUGGUGUCAUUUUACAAAACAGACCCAGAGCUCCCACUGGGCAAUGACAGAAUACUGGGUUUUAUAAAAUGUGGACAAGGAAAUAUAAUAAUAUGGGGAAAGCAGCUAAUGUGUUAAUCUCAGGUUACUCUUUCUGUAAUGGUCAAACCAAAGGAGAAGUAUUCCUUGUGAUUCUGAAUCAGGUGUACUAGAAUCUCCUGUUUUCAGGAAAAAACUGGUCUCUUUGGGAAUCUAGCUGCUUUAUUGAUAUUUCAGUGUGAUUAAGUAGCACUUAGCAUAAGCAACUCCAUUCUGAUCUGAUCUGAUCUGUAGGGGCCGCCUGCUGGAGCUCAGUUCAAAACAAAGGCCUCCAAUAAUUUUUUUUGUGUAAUACAUGUCAGAGUAGAAACUGGAAGUCCACAAACGAAAAUGAAACCCCAUUUUUUUUUGCCCGUCAGAUUGACAAACAUGAAGAAUGAUAACAGUAUUAGAGAGUGAGAGAGGAAAAGAGCAUUCUCAGAAGGUGCUGGCAGGAGCCUACAUUCAAUGUCACCUUUCUUGAAGGCAAUUUCACAUGAUCAAAGUUUAAAAUGCACAAUCCCUUUGGCCUACAAAUUCCACCCCCAGUAUUCUACCCUAGAGAAGCUCGCAUGUGUAAAAGGGUAUUUACUAAAUAAUUAUAGCAGCAAUAAGUUGGAAACAACCUAAAAUUCUAUCGAUAGAAGGAUGAUUAAAGAAACAGAUAAACUAUAAUUUGUUUAUGCCGUGGCAAUUGUGCAGCCCAUUAGUAGACGCAUUAAUACACCCAAACAGUAACAUAUUGCUGGGUGAAAAAUCAACGUACAGAGCAGUGUGUAGCUCUGGUAUUGUCUUUGCAAAAACAAAACAAGCCAAACACCAUGUGUGCACUGGGGAAUGGGGGGUGGACAUUCAGAGGCACAUACUUGUAUCUGCCUGGGGAAAAGUCUGGAAGUACAGACACUAAGUUCCAGCAGUUAAUGGCUUCUCCUCUAGUAAGGAGGAAAAGCUUCCCAUUUCAGGGGAGAUUAAGACAUUUUAAAAUAAGCAUACAUUGUUUUUGUAACUCAAAACAUGCAUACACAAAGCAAGCAGCUCUUAUUCCACAAUGAAAGAGAAAGCCGUCUGGGAAAAGAUGGCAAUAACCUUUAGUUCAUAUUUCUAGGCAAUUCCAGGAAUCUUAAGCUGUGUUUCCUCUGAAUUAAAGACCUCUUGGGAAUGCAGGACAGAAAGAAAGCCAUUUUUUCUGCUAGUGGAAGAAGUUAGUGAGCCUUGGUAUGUGCAGGAGUGAGGGCAGGGACUAGGUCCCUCUCGCUUGUGGUCAUUCCAGGGUCCGCACCAUGUUGGGUGCUUAUCAGGGUCUCCAGACUUGAAUCAAUAAAAGAUAUGAAAAAAAUGACAAUGGCUCUGUGACAAAUUACUACACCAUGUACCACAGGGAAACCUGGCAAGCUGUUGACAGGGAAUGUCCCUGUUCUUCAAGUGUUCUAGAAUUUAAGUUCUGAGAUUAUUAGCACAGCGGCAAUGGGGAGGAAGUUAACUAGACCCAGAAAGAAUGCUGCUCUCUAACAGAAUUCUUUCUCAUGCUGAAAUAGCAGUCGAAGUUGUCUGGGAAAUCUGCGGUCUGCCAGCUCACAAAAAAGUAUCAACAGACUCGGGAAAUCACCAAAAACAUUUUAGUUUUAAUUUUUUGCAUUAAAAAAAAAAACAAUGCAGAAAAUGGGGCCAGAAUCAGGAUGCCUUGGAGGGUUUUCAUGGAACGUAGCUGAUGACUGUAAGCUAUUGAGGUAAUAGGAGAGAAAGGAGGCCAAAGUCUGCCCAGCAGCUCCUAGCUGCUCACGGGGCAGGCUCAGUCUCCCAGCACAGGCACCUUGUUAGAUCUCACACACUGUGGAACCUUGUCAUCACUUCAGACAAUGAAACUGGGGCUUAAGACCUUGGAGAACCCAUCCUGGGAUCCACAGCCAGAAAGAGGCAGAGCAAAGAUAAAGAGGGAUUCCAACACAGACAGGCCUGGCUCUGAAGCCCAGGCCCACUCUCAGGCUCCUGGACCUGAGAAGAGCUCUGGCUCACCUCACUUAUCAUAUGGGCAUGACAGCCACCCCUAAAGACUCCAAAGGCCUUGGUACUCAGAGCUGACUGGAUUAGACCAACCUGUCUGUAGAAUUAGCCCUGAACCUUCACACCCACAGAGAAGAUUCCCACCCAUCCUCAGCUUCCGUGUGGGCCACGGGGAAGUGACCCAGUAUUCCUGAGCAGGACUCUGGAAAUCGUAUUUCCUCAUGAUUGAUGCACCUACCCUGGCCACUUCAGGAUCCAGAUGUCCCCUCACUGAGGUGAAGCACAGUUCCUGAAGAACUGCUUACACUGUCAUCAGCCCCAGAGUCAGUCACUUGUCACAAAUACCCUCAUGGAAUCAAGUUCUUGGUUUACUUUUCCAUGAUAUCUGCUGAGUCCGAUGAAAUGGAGUUUUGCCUUUAUUUUCACCACAGCAGAAAGUCAGGGUGCCCAGUUCUGCAGCUUCCAGCGUGUUUCUGCCACAUUCCAGCCCUUCUUGAAUAUAUUCUAUGCCUGGGGUUCAGAUCCCCAUGAGCACCUUAGAUGCUGCGUCUGUUUCCUGACAUAUUCUCCUGGGCCACCGCCUGGCCCACAUCAGGGCUGCCUUUCUCUCUCCUCCCACAGCUUUAAUAAUUUCUAUACACCAAUCACACUCACUUCUCCAGCCUUGAACCUCCAGUCUGAGUCUGAGAAGCUUUAGAUAUAACAGAAAUGCAAAGAAUUCUUGACCCCACGUCAUCUCUAAGCCACUCCUCUCUUCUGCCUUGAAUCCAAUUGCACGUAUCAGUAAACAGCACUACUGUCCACUUUAUUGCUCAAACCUAGAUGUUUUCCUCACCCCCAUAUAGAAUUCUUCAGCAAGUUUGGCGGUUCUGCCGCCAAAAUGUUGCAAAUUCAUCCACUUGACCACAUAUCAUUGCCAACAUUGAGCCACCGAUCUCUGGCCUCAACUCCUCCAGGCUCAUCUUCUUGCUUCCAUUUGUCUCCUUGAAAAUCAUCAGAAUAAAAAAUUUGGGGCAUGAGUCCUACUGACCUCUUGGCUGAAGCCAUUUGUGUUUCCAGCUGUACUUUACCGUGUCUGCAGCACUUGGUGGUCCAGCUCUGCCCAUCUCCUCAGCACACCUCUUGGUCUCCUCUAGCCGGCUGCCCUGAUGUCACACUAGCCUUCUCCCCUUGAGAGCUCCCUUGCUGCUCCUCAGAUUCUGUCCCAGAAUUUCCUGGCUGGGAACUUUCUCUUUAUUCAGGUCUAAACUGUGACCUCCUAGAUGGUCCUUCCAGGACCACCCUGAAGAGUUACCCCUUACCCUGCCAAUGAGUUUCCAUUGUAGCUUCCUGUUUGGGUUUCUUCCAAGCACUUAAAAUUAUUUAGUUCAAUUAUUUAUUCACCUGUUUAUUGGCCAUUUCCCCCAUAGUAGAAAGAGAUCUCCAUCUCUCCCAUACAAGACUCAAUCUCUAGAGAUAAGACUCCUCAUUUUGCUAAAAUAGUAGUAGAAGUUACCCAGGCAAUUUUCUCUCUGCCAGCCCACAGAAUAUGAGAUCACUGAUUGAGGAAAUGAUCCCAAAGUAUAAAAUUUUAGUUUUAAUUUUGGGAUUAAAAAUUAAUGUGGCAAGAGAGGCCAGAAUUAGGGUGACUUGGUGGGUUUAGUGGAAUAUCACCUGUGACUACAAGCUACUGAGAUUCCAAUUCAGAAUUAGGACUGUGAGUCAGAAUCAGAGGAGCACACAGUAGGGUCCAUUAAGUUUGUGGACUGUGACUGAACAACUGGUCGAAUGUGUUUACAGAGAAGCAAAUGCCGCCCUUAGCUGAGGCCAUAGUUAUGAUUAAAGAACACUGCACUCAUUUUAAGCAGCACUCUAAUUAAAUGACAAACUCUGGCUUGUAUUAAAAAUAUACACUGCAUUGUGUCAUGACUUACUGGAUCAAGCACUCCAAAGCAUUCAUAUCAGUUGGACAUUGUGAAACAUUCUCCACUUGAAUUCACCCAGAGAAUAGACCAGGGGAAUCUGCUUUCCUAAUGGCGACCAGCUGCCCUUGCUGAGCAUUUCUGUCUGAUUUUCAUCACUUCAAUGUCUAACACCACCUCUAAAGUGCUGAGAUGGCCAAAUAUGGGCUGCCCUGAUGGGUGACCUCUACCUCCCCUUCCAAACAAUCCCUCCCAGUUACCCUGGACCCUGGCAGUGCUGGCCCCCAGCCAAGGAGCCAGGGAAAGAGGGCUGAUCACCUUGAAUGGCACCUUUCCUCCCAUGCUGACCAUUCUGGUCACUUCUGCAGAGAGUGGCAGCACUGACUGUGUGCCUUAUUUCCCCUUCUGGACAGUAAUAUAUCACUUGUUCUCACAAAACCUUGUUGGAAAGUAAAGAUGAAGGUUGCCCAGAACACAACAGAAGCUUGGGGCUUCCCUUUGCCUCCUAAGGAGUGCUUCUACUUAGACGCAUCUUAUAUACAGCUGUCUGUUCUUGGAGAGAGGAAGUUGGAGGAGCUGGUUGGCUGAAAGUAAAAGAAAUGUGGAGCUGGGUGGAGGCCUGUUUUCUGAUAAGCUGUGGGUAACCUGAAAGUGCGAGGGAGGCUGUGGUCUUUUAUUAUCUGCAAACUGAGCCCAAGGCACACAGUGUGGCCCACAGCCACUUCUCCAAGUUGAAGUGGAUAUUCUUUAACUCUAGGUUAAUCAACAACAGCAACAAUACAAAAUUAGAAGCAGUCUUGAUAAGUUGCAAGGAGAGCUCAUUCAUUUCCAUUAACUGGUGAGGCCCUGUGGAUCUGCUAGAUUAGAGGAAACUGUAUUUUGCAGAUUGUGAGAGAUUUAUUUUGGGACUGGGUGUCAACAAAGAGUGCAAAAUGAGUUCAAGUCAGAUUCCACAUAGAUUUGGAGGAAGGAGAGCAUACCAAUCAUAAUGAAUGAGGGAGAGAAAGAACUUAGGGAGGACUCACAAGCAGCUACAUUCUUUGGGUUAUUAUCAUUAUUUUUGAGUCUGUAAAGGGUAAUGCAAGAUGACGGGUACCUAGGAGGGAGUCAGGCCAUGCUGUUUGUCCUUGAGACCCAGGAAAGCCAGAAGCUAAUUUGAGUUUAGUUGAGGUUUCUGCAUAUCAGGACUACAACACGUAAGGCCAUAGAAAUUCAGUAAGAGAGGGCUGUGGGGGUUUUCUGCUCAAUUAUGGAAGAGGACACAGGUUUAGCGAGGUUUCUUUCUCAAAGCUCAAUGUCCACAUCACUCAAUCUCCUCUUAAUGUCUUCUCUAUUCCCCUCCCUCCUUCGACUUGGAAAUUCCAAGCCUAUUUGAAAUUACAGUGAGCAGAAACAUUGCAGGAAAGAAUAACGGGCAUAUCCAGUGUGGUUGGGAAGUAUCGCCAAUCACCUAAUGAAAGCCAAUUAGGAAAACCAAGUUCAAUCGAGGGACUUCCACUUAAGCAAAUUUUCACUGUGUUUCUGUUUUCUGCAUCAAGAUAUUCCUUUGUUUUCAGAGGUUUCUAAGUGAAGAGUGAAAAGAGCUUUGGUCUGAUUUGAUGAUGAUGGUUUAAGUUAAUUUUAGUUUCUAUUCCUCAAGCUCCAGUCACCUGCCCCAAGAUCAUGGAGCAUUCUGUCCCUUGACAGAGGCUAGAGAUGACAUUUAACCUGCAUAGAAGAUUGCACAAAGAUCAAAAAGCAGCCGUACUGCAGUGCUCAUUUAAUAAUUAUGCCCUUACUCUCUGCCAUAUUCUGGGGCUCUCCUGGGUGGUGGAAAUGAAGGAGUACUUCCAGCAGCCCACGGUGCAGCAGAGGAGUCAGUAGAUGAAUAGGCAUCCAGGAAGGGAGCACAGUGGAGACAGAGGCCAGAGUGUGAGUAGGAACAGUGAACCCGCAGGAUGAGAGGUGAGGGAGAGGGGCCGCAGAGGCAGGCAGGGGCCAGAGGGAGCGGCCUGGCCUACAUUGUGGAUGAGCAGGGCAAGGCAUGACAGCGCCUGUAUUAGCGUUUUCCUGCAUUCAACGGACACAUUCCUGGCCCUGUGUUCAUUCAUUUGUGUGUUCAAUUGUUGGUUCAAGGAUCACUAUUGAAUGUGUACUCUCUGGGACUUUCACAGGUGUGGCAGAGAGAAAUAAAAUACAAACCCUCCCUCUGACAUGCUCACAACAGGUAGGACACUCAGCUAAGAAAAAGUUAUGGACUUCAGCAGGGAAAGUCCAACGCAGGGAACUGGUUGCCAGCCUGAGAGCUGAAGAGGCACCACAGGGUGAGCCCGACAGGAAGCAGCUGCUGGGAAGCAGCCGCCAUUCCCCAGGCCUGAGGAAUCUGAGGGAGGACCUGGGGCUGUGGGAACUUGGAGGCUCCAGGAGGCACCACAGAGUGGAGCUCAGGCCCCAGAGGAGGGGCCUCAGCCAGCCAGGGAAGGUGGGAGGAAGCUAGUUCUGGCAGUGCUAAAGCUGUCAGCAGGGAGGGUGAUUGCUGGGUGACAUUAAAGGAACCGCAAGCAGAUAGAAAGGACAAGUCCCCCAUCCUCUCCUGCCUCUGGUCUGUUCAGUGCCUCCUAUUGACAGAAAUCAAAAGCAAUGCUAUUGCCUAGAGAGGUGGUCUGCCCAGUCCCACCCUGCAUCACACAACAAAGCAGGGUACACAGAGGUGGCUUCGGAGCUCAAAUUAUAGGUACUGAAGGAAGUUGUAGCUACAGUGCAAAAUGUAUUGGGAAACUAUUGAUAGGGAUAAUUGGGUCCACACAAGGGGACUCCUCGUCAAGGAGAGAGAAUUUCAUGUUAGAGGGGGAAACAGGAUAAUAAUUUUAAAUGUCUCUUGUAGUUUUCCUUUCAUUAAUCCAGAGUGCUUUCACCCUGAUGGACAUUAAACACAGACUGAAUCUGAGGCUUAUUGUCACAGGGAAGGGGUAGUGUUGGGUACAGCACAGAACAAAGAAGUCAUUGCUUGGAUUUCUGAAUUUCAAAAUAGUUUUUUAAGUCCCUAGGGAAACAAAAUAGCCUGAGGGAGAGCCUUUUUGAUUUUCAAAAUCUGGCUUUCUGAGACAAAAAAAAAAAAAAUUGUCUCAAAAGCCCAAGAGCCGGCUGUGCAGAAACAGAGGCCAUGGUUUAUUCUAAGCAUAGGGUGCACGAGGCAAGCUCCUGUCUCCUGGGAUAAAAGAAAGGCUUCAGUGAGAGAGGAGGGACCAAGGACCACAGCAGAUUCCAGAGUACUGCUGUGUUUUUUCCUCCGUUCCAUUUGUGGGCCCAACCUGGGGUGGGGAGUGUGCAUGAAUGUGAGACUUCCUGAGCCAGUUCGCAGGAAGUCCCAGAACAAAAAGUUUAUUCCUCAACUCCCCAGCUGCAGGCCUUGCAAACGGCCUGUGCCCCUGAGCCUGUGUGAACUGGGAGCUGCAGCAAUUCCCUGAGGUGGACCUGGGAGAGUGUGUGUCCCCAAGCAGCAUAAUUCCUGGUUUGGAUCUUAGCAGAUUUGAUAUUAUACCCUAUGUGUGGGAAUCGAUUUUCCCAUAUCAUUGCAUAUUAGCUGUGCCUCAUUCAUUUAUACUUAAUGUCAUAUGCUCUAAGAAUAUUCUGUGAUUUAUUAAUCCAUUUUCUGGUCAUUGGCUAUUUGUGUUGCUUCUAAUUUUUAUAUAGUCAAAUUUAUCAGUCUUACCUUUAAUUGUUAGAAAUUUAUGUAACUUACUUAAGAAAUCCUUCUCUACCCUGAGGUCAUAAAGCUUUCUUCUAAAAAUUUUUUAUAAAAAAUUGUUCUUUUACAUUCUCAAUCCAUGUGCAAUUGAUACCUCAGAAUGGUGUGAGGUUAGGGAUCCAGUUUUACUCUUUCAUUGUGGAUAAACAAUUGUGCCAUUUAUUGAAAGCUACACCACAUACUUUGCCCACAUAUUAAUGUUUCAUUAACUACCUUAGAUUGUAAUAUAUUGACAUCUGAUAUUUUAAAAAUACCCCAUUGUACUUUAAUAGUGCUUUGUCAAUUCUUAGUCUAUUCCUUUAAAUUUUUUUUAUUUUAGUUGUAGAUAAACAACAUUCCUUCAUUUCAUUUAUUUAUUUUUAUGUUACUCAUACUAGAUAAGUGCACUACCAUUGAGCUACAAAUGCAGCCCCUGGCCUGUUACUUUUUAUAUGCAUUUUACAAUUGUGUUGUCAAUUUUAAAGAAGCACCCUGGUUGGAAUUCUACUGGAAAUGCAUUGAAUCCAUUGACUUACAAUCCACCCCAAUCUGGCUUCGAUAGCUACAACUCCACUGAAAUUGAUCUUGUUAAAAAUCAUCCAAAAUCUCCAUAUUGCCAAAUCUAUCAGCCUUUACUUUGUUCUCAUUUUACUUGACCUGCAACACGGUGGAGAACUCUCUUUUUAAAUUCACCUUAUACUCUGGGCUUUGGAAACAUCACACUGUUUUUAAACUGAGUUUUUAUAGCUGGCUCUUUCAUCUCUGCCUAACCUCUGAAUGCCAGAAUGCCAUAGGACCUGGUCUUCUAUUUUAUUCUGUCUUUCCUUGUUCUCUUCUGGGUCCAUGCCCUUCAGUGUUGCUACACAUUAAUGACUCCCCGUAUAUAGAUGAACUGAUCUGACCCAAAUAUCCAAUUGCAUACCUGACAUUUCCAGUUGGACUUCAAAUAGACACUGCAAACUGAACAUAUAUAAAAAAUCACCCUUGAGUUCAUUCUAAAUGAUCUUGUCCCAGCCUAGGUAAAUAGCACCAUCAUACACCAGUUGACUAACGACGACAAGGACAAACUAGGCUCUGGAUCAUUCUGGAUGCUUCCUUGCCUUUACCUGCUGCAACUAUUCUUCAGCAGUUUGUAGGCACCACCUCCAAAAUAUUUGAAUCUGUUACUUUUCUCCAUCUGCUCUGCCUCAGUCUACACCACCAUCCUCUUUUGCUCUGAGUUUGAAGCUGCCUCCUAGUUGGUAUCUCUGCAUCCGUUCUCAGCUCUUGGUAAUUCACUCUCCAUUAGGUAAUGAGAGUCAUCUGAGAGUGAGACAGACCAUGUGCUGCCUCUGCUUAAAACUUUCCAAAGGCUUUUCACUGUGAUUAGCAUAAAAUCCAAAUUCCAUACUAAGGCCUUCAGGGUCCUACUAAGCUGACUCCGCCUCCCUCUUAGGUCCUUGCUUACUAACCCCAGCCCCAGUGGCCUCCUGAUGCUUCCCCCAGCCUGCUGAGCUCUUUCCCACUCUAGGACCUUGGCACGUGCUGCUUCUGAUGCUCACUGAAGGCCUUAUUACCUCCUUGUCACCAUGUCAUCAGCUUAGAUAUCCUCAGAGGGGACUUCCUAUCUUCCCAUAGUGUCUCUCACCCAAAAGCCUGAGAUUAUUCUGCUUAUUUGGUUUAAGUGUCUAUUCCUGGCCAGAAUUAAGUUCUCUGAGGGCUGGGGGCCUGGUCUGUCUUGUCACCACCGUGUUCCUAGCCCCUGAAGUAGCACCUGGCACCUUUGAGGUACUCAACAUAUAUUUCCUGAACAGACAGAAGGCCACCCAGAGGAUUAUGUAGUGUGACCAGAGAAGCAGGCAGAUGACCGAGGCUCACAGAGCAUUUUGUUUUUGUUGUUGUGUUUUUUUUACUCAGUCCGUUUUGGACUCAGUAUAGACAGGAGCAAAGAAAGGCAAGCUGGUGUUUUGGGGUAUGAUUGCUUGUGGCAUUUCCUUCCUCACUGCUGUUUACUACUUGUGCAAUAAAUCUCAAAUCAGUGGGGAGAAUGAACUCUGAGUUCAUAUAUUCUCGUAGUGAAAUAAGUCAUAGUUUGCUGAUGAAAAUAGUUUAUAUUUAUGAUUUUGAAAGAAGAAAUGAAACCUAUACAUGAAACCUUAUCUGGGUGUUUUUUUUUUCACCUUGUUUGACAAUCCAAUUUAUGCUUGAAUUCCAGGACUUACACAUUUAUUUUAUUAGUAAAAUUAAUUUUCUUGAGUGCUAGAGAUAGACAUCUGCGCCUCAAGCAUGCUAACUAUGCACUUUGCCACUGAACUACACCCCCAGAUCACAUAUUUUUAAGAUCUAAAAUAAUAAUUCAUCUCCACUGCAAUAAUCAUUCAGUAGACUCAUACAGUUCAUGUUUAAUCUAUUUUGGAGAAAGAUUUAAGCAAUUCUCAAUACAUUAUUUUUUAAAAAAUCCUCCGUUUAAUGAUCAUUUUAGUGAGAUGUACAGGUGAAAAUAGAGAAUUGCUAAUACAACACCCUGCAUAACAAAUAGAAUAUACUGGAAUAGUCAGUAGAUGAUAAUACAUUUGUGCUCAUGCAAUACUGGGAAUUUGUAUUUCCCCUAUUUUAUGUUGAAACCCACCCCAGAGUGGUAGUAUUCGGAGGUGAGGCCUUUCAGAGAUGAUGAGGUCCUGAUGGGGGAUCCCUCGUGAGUGGUUAAUGGCCUUAGAAGAGGCCAGAGAGCUCACAAGCCCUCCUUCCACCAUGUUAGGAUACAGCCAGAAGUUCUGCAGCCCAGAAGGGGCCCUUGCCUAAACCCAACCACGGCCUCCUGAUCAGACUUCUAACCUCCAGACUAGGAGAACUAAAUGUUCGCUGUUGGUGAGCCACCCAUCUACAGCUCCUUGUUAAGCACCCUGAACUAAGAUGGCCUGUACUCUGACUUACUAACAAAUCCAUACUUAGUGCUUCCUGGGUCAGGUGUUGUUCUAGGUUCUUUAAAAUAUGAAUUCAUUUCAUUCUAUUUUCACCCAAACUCUUUGACAUGGGAACUAUUUUACAGAUGAGGAAAUUAGUAGGCACAGAGGAUAAGCAGUGUUCUUGAGCUCCCUGCUUGUGGUAGAGGUGCACAAGGCUUUAAAUCCAGGUGGGUCUUGCUCCCAGCUGUUCACAGCAACUGGAUAUAAUAUUGACUGAAAGCUCAUCAAGGAAAAGAAAUGUUUUCUUUGCCCAGUUGGAAUAACUUUGUUUAUGUAGUUAUUUUAAAUAGUUGUUUCUUCUAAAACACCAUGAGAACUAGCACUACAGGCAGAUUGCUGUGAGGCCACUCAGCACACCUGGCACGCCCCAGGAUGUCACGCAAUGGAGACCUCUUGGGACCUCUGUGCAACUUGGCAGACUCCAGAGGCCCUGCCCACAGACUUGCAUGAAUGGUCUGCUGGAGGGGUGCUGGGUCUGACCCUCAGUGGUGGCCUUGAGGUGGCCAGAAGAUGCAUGGCCAUGAGAACCCUCUCUCCACACAGUCCAUUUUCUGGAUUCAUCCAUUGACGUUUGCUGCCUAAACAGUACAUUAAAACCCUACUCUCUAUUUGAUAAUUGUCAUCUCACUUCCUCAUUUUUAGUUCACUAGAAGAAAAACAUGCUUAAAUAUUUAAAUGUCUCUGUAUAUGGUGCAUAUUAGAGAUUUGUUUUUUCUCUCUGAGAGGUUAUGAUUUUAAAUGCCUCCCUGGGUAAUUUUGGACAAAUCUCUGAUAACAAUGAAAAUGGCAAUAGGACAUGGUAAUAAAUCUAAGCCAAGAUUCUGUGGAAGGCCAGGUUCAUGCCUGGGUCUGCUGGUCUUCAGAGAGUUUUGAGGACACUCUAUUCAAUUCUCAGUCCAGCUGAUGGACAUCAGCUGGAUUUGGACUCUUGGUGCACUGAGCUUACCCCUAAUAGACACUGUCAUCCCCAGCGGGCAGAACUGGAGGAGUCACAUGGAUAUGGGACCUAAGUGGCCCUCUGGUCUAAUUUACUUUCUGACAGAUGAAAAGCCUGAGGUCCAGGAGGUUGACAGAAGCCGUCUAAGCGCAUAUGGCUGGUUGGUGGCAGGAGAGAGAAUAAAUCUGUAAUUCCAAAUGUACCUACUUUUGCUUGUUUUCUGUUAGACUUCACUGCACCCUGUACCUCUGGGUACAAUAGACUUUCUCUAGGCCUUUGUGUUCCAGCUUUGUUAUGUGUCCUCGUCUACCUUUGCUGGGACAAUCAGCAGAGCCUCUGAGCACUGGAUGCUUUCUACUUCAGCUCCAGGCGGGGAAACCCAUCACAAGCUCAAAAACAUACACAGGCAGUUCACUGAUCAUCACUCCAGGUGUGGGCUCUGUCACUAAUGGUGUGAUUAAUUAUUUGGUCAGUGAACUUCUGUAGGCUUCUCCAGUGUGAAGAGAGGAUUGGGUAAGUAGCCUAGGCCCUCAGCAGCACCGUGCCUCUGGGAACUCUCCCUGUGACUGCCAGUCAAAUCAUCCUCAGGGCACAUCUGGAACUCACAGCAAUCUUUAGGUCUUAACUGUGUGAGACCAUGUUUUACGAGCUUGGUCAUGUUGGCUACCUUAUUUUUUUCACAUGUUGCUUCCAGCGCUGAGUACCCAAACCUGCUAGUGCUCUCAAAUUACCAUCAAAUACAUGGCGACCUGACAUUCUGUUCUGGCCAGUCUAGUCUUUUUUGUUUUUGUUUUUGGUCAGAGAGAGGGUUGUUGCUUAAACAAGUAAGAAGGAACUCUCAUGGGUGAGGAGAGGCUUGGGGACCUGUCAAGGGUUGUCACAUGUAGGCCCCAUGGCCGUGGUUAGGUCAGAGUUUGCUAUUUGUUCCUGCUCCAGUGGCCCCACUGGUUCUAAGUUUUCUUCAGACAGAUGGGCCUGAGGUUCAGAGGCCCAGAUAUUUGCUCAGGCUUGGACAGGAACAGACGGACUCACACACAUCUUCUUUCUUGGAGUCCUUGAAUGGACAAAAAGUAGGCCUUAGGCAGAAGAGAAGCACAGAGACCCAGAGACACACUGUGCAAAGGCUCAGAGUCAAGAGGGCAAAAAAAAAAAAACAGGAUUGGGGGGAAAGUUAGAAAAGGAAGGAAGGAAAACAAAUGAAGAUAGAGAGCAGCUGAGUCCCAGGAACGACUGUGGACUCACCAGAGCAAAGAUAAAUGCAUGAGCCCCAGGCAACAACCAUGUGGCGGGAUUCAGCACACACUGUCCUGUGCUCUAGUUUUCAGUGAGACUGGGCCAGCCACAAACCACUUCUAGUAGCCCCAAAGUUGACCACCCCUUUUUCUAACAGUUUCCUCUCCUGCAGAAACCUGAGGCCUCCGGAUCUCAUCAGGCAGAGGAAUCUACAUAAUGUGACAAGGAAUCUACAUAAUGUGACGACUUGACAAUUCCACACUCCACGUUCUCCAGGUGCCUGCGUGUGGCGUGGUGAGCGCUCACCCUGUGAGCCAGCAUGGGACAAGCACUCAGGACAGUUUGCUGGAUGAAGCUGAGACACUGGGUCACUGGGUCACUCUGGCUGCCGAGCAGGUGAAAGAGUUUUUCAGAUGUGCAGCGAGGUGUACCCAGUACAGGCCCGAGCAGAGGGAGCCUCGCAGCAGCUGAGGGAAGAAGGGGCUCAUGUGUAGGAAGAACCCCAGGCAGCCACGGUCUUGCCUCUUGCUUGCUCUACUGCCUCCAGUUCAGACUGGGGGUCAAGGCCCCUGUGGAAGGCAUGCCCUCCCAGCACCCACAUCCCAACACGUGUGUUCAGACUGGUGAGGAGGACCCUGCUCCUUGACACACUCAGCGAGCCCACUCCUGGACUUUGCUGUCCUCAGAGACCAGGGGCGUCAGGGUCUCAACGAUGCCAGGUCAGGGCAUGCAGCACUGCUGCUGGGAGUCAGAAGGACUGUUGGCACAACGCCGAUGCUGGUUGCUUGGUGAGGGAAGAGGGAAGCACGUGAUAGGGACCAUCCAGAUGUCAGAUUCUUCAGGGCCUCCUCCUAGAGGACCCCAGUCACCAUGUGUCAAACAGAGUAACCUUCCAGGAUGGCACAUGUGGUCUGACAAGGGGCUUUGGAAGGUAGUUUCAGUCCGCUGUUGUUUUUUGUAUGGAUGACCUGGGGCCUCUGGGCUUUAGUUUUCCCAUCUGCAAAAUGGAGAUGUUGAUGUGUAAUUUUGAGACAGACCAUCUAAAAGCCAUCGGCAAGAAUGGAGGUCAAAUGAUUUCGAUAAUUGCAGCUGCACACGGGGCUAAAAUAGUUCAAUCUGAGAGUUGAGGGGGUGGGAGGUGAGAAUGGCCUUAGAUGAGGGGGCCUCACUGCCACUGAGGUCACCACCUUUGCCAGCACAUGGAGACGGGCAUGGUGACCUCCUCCCACCUCUGGUUGCUCAUCACUUUGAGGCUUUGGCUCCUCGGAUUUCCCUCAGCACUAAUCACUCUUUUUUUUUUUUUAUUGCUUAUGGUCGUUUGUUGCUCUUCUCUAUUUAGUUAUGAAGUUGACCUUAAAUGCAGUCCAUAACAUCCUAUCCUUAUCCUCUUUUUUAGUGAAUUUUUUCCAACAGAUAGUUAUGGCAGUUUCAAAGCUUUAGCUGCAAAUUUCAGAAAUCCUAAAUCAAGAUAGCUUAUAUAAUAUUGGAGAGUUAAUAGUUUGUUAUUAAAUGGCCCAGAGACAGAUCUUCAGCCAAAGUUUGAUCCAGAACCAAAGAUGACAUCUGGGACCAGUUUCGUUUCUCUCUUCUGUCCUCCCUCAUACUAGCUUUUCUUCAAGCUGUUCCCCAUCAUGAUCCUGAGAUGACCACCGUGACUGCCAACUGCUUCAGUGUUCUCCUCCAUCAGGAAAGAGUGCUUGCCCUUCCCAGCAAAACCCUCAAGAUUUAUUUAUGUAUUUUUCUUGCAGAGCUGGGGAUGGAACCCAAGGCCUUGUGUGUGCUAGGCAAGCGCUCGACCACUGAGCUACUUUCCCAGUUCCCUCAGGAUUGACUUUGACUGGUGAAUUUAGGCUACAUAUCCACUUUGAAUAAGUUUCUGGCCUAGGGAAAUAAUGCACUGAGUAAUUUAGCCUAAGUGACAUCCCCCAUUGCUGGGGAUGGAGGUAGGUUUCAUUUUUUUUCAGAACCUCAUUUCGGCGCUGAUAAGGAAGCGAAUGUGGAGACUCUGAUGCUGAGGAGGCCACUAACCAUGCUGCCUUCCAUGAAGAACCACAAGGCCCAAAUGCUUGAAGACUUUUCCAUUUGAAAACCAGCGUGCGUACUGCUUAAACCAAGGUCAAGGCAUCUGAUGUGACACCAAGUGGCUUUCAUCAACAGGCAUGAGGAGCAGUCUGAACCUUUGCAUUUUCUGAUGUUACAAAACACUGGGUUCUGUACUUCAGUGCUCUCGCCAGGGAAGCUUUCUUGUUUGUGCAUUUCAGCCAUUUUCAACAUGCUCUAAAUUGAAACAGAGAAUGUAUUUUUUUCUUUCUAGUGUUAAAAUCCAAUAAGCAGCGGCACACUGCAGGAAGUCGGUCUAGCCACAGCAAAUCUGUACUUGUUUUUGUGAGAGAGGAUGGGAAGAAUGAAUAUUUGCCCUGUGGCAUCAAUUUCCUGUUUAAUGUUCUCCAAGAAGUGUUUGGAAAAUGCCCAGCUACACAGAUGUACGUAAAUACCAUACAUAACUUGUUUCUGAGUGGGGGGGAGCAGUCUGUGAAGUGGGGACAGGGCUGGCUUGCUUGCCUCCAGAUAGCUGGUAAGCAACUACCUUUGACCUGGUGAUCUGGGGACUAGAUUAUCCGAGUUUGGCACUGGAAGGAAAGCAGCAUAGGAAUAGCGUGGCUUCUUAGACUAUGUUCUUACUCGUGUGUGUGUGUGUGUGUGUGUGUGUGUGUGUAUCAGGGAUAGAACCCAGGGGUGCUUAAUCACUGAGCCACAUCUCCCUUUUUAAAAUUUUAUUUUGAGAUUUUGAGAGAGGGCUUUGCUAAGUGGCUGAGGCUGGCCUUGAACUGGUGAUUCUCCUGGAGUGGCUUCAAUUACAGGUGUGUGCUAUCGCACCUGGCUUGUUCUUAUUCAUUUAAGGCUACUUUUAUCCCAAAGUUUGCAUAUUCUUAUUGGAGAUGGCCUAUAAGAAAUGUAUAUUAAGAGGAUGGUUUUUAAAAACAAAACAGUUCCCUGCAAACAGAAGCCCAUCUGUAAGACGGACAGACACAAAUCUGUUUGUGCAAAGGUGUGCACACACUGCCUAGCGCCUCUUCCAGGGCAGUUUGUAUGCCCCACACAUGCCUUCAGAUCAUCUUAUAUAAAAGGCGAUGGCUGGGUUGGAGGACCAAACUCUUAUUUUUGUUUUAGCAACCAAGCUACAGGGCUACUCUAGAAGUUAAGACCUUGAUCCACAAAGGAAGCUUUAGAGGUAAAGAAUCUGUCCUCUCAUAUAUAAUUUUCAGAUGCCUCCUAAUAAGGCAAGGUGAGAAAUGAAGCCUAUGACCUGUUAAACACCUACGAUGUGAACGGAAGGCCUUUCUAUACAUUGUGACCCAUCCUCACAACAUCCUGUGUUGUGCUCCCUCUCUCCUCCUCUUACAGAUGAGGAAACUGGGACUUAGAGAAGGUAAACUACAGCUCAGGGGCUAGUGAUGCCUGCAUUAAACUCAGUGCGGGUCUGGUUGGUCCUGAAGCCUUAUACAUUCUUCUCAGAUUUAGAAACUGUUACUCUAGCAUUCACAGAUGAGCCUCAGAAAAUUCUCAAGAGCCUAGUUUUCUGUGUAAAUCUGUAAGUGUGUGUUCAUGUGUUCCUAACACUCAUGGGAUUUAUCAGCUGUGUUUCUGGAGCCUGGCACAGACUUCUUCCCUCCCCUUUCCUUGUGCACCCCCCAACCUCAGCCCCUGGAAACUGCCACUCUGGUCUCUACUUCUGUGUGCUCAACUGACUUAGAUUCCACCUGAACAUGAGAUAACAUAAGACAUGUCUUUCUGUGUGUUUUAUUUCAUUUAAUGUAAAGUCCUCCAGGUUUGACUAUGUUGUCACAAGUGACACACUUUCCUGUUUUUUAAUUAUUUGUUAGUGGCUGAAGAAUACUCAGUUGUGUGUAUAUACCAUGUUUUUAAAACACACCCUUUUCACCAUGAACACUUUGUUUCCAAAUCUUGGUCACUGUGAAUGAUGGUGUCUUAAAAAGAGGCGGCCCACCUCCCUUCAGCAUAUCGAUUUCAUUCCUUCGGGUCCACCCGGGAGUGGGAUCACUGGAGUAUGUGGUGUUUCUACUUUUGCUUUUUUUUUUUUUUUGGAGAAACCUCCACACUGCUUUCCACAAUGGCUGUGCUAAUUUGCAACACCACCAACAGUGAACAGGGUUCCCUGAGCCCCGCAGCCUGGCCAACAUGUGUUAAUCUUUCAUCUUUUUGAUAACCGCCAGUGGCACAGGUGUGAGUUGAUACCUCAUUGUGGUUUUAAUUUGCAUUUCUCUGAUGAUUAGAGAUGUUGAGCAUUUUCGCAUAUCACUUUUGGCCAUUUGUGAUUCUUCUUUUGAGAAAUGUCCUAUUCCAGUCCUUUGCUCAUUUUAAAAUGGGGUUGUUUCGUUGUUGUUGAGUAGGCUGAGUCCCUGGUAUGUUUUGGACACUAGCCCCUCUCCUCUGAUGCAUGGUGUGCAGAUGUUUCCUUCUAUCCCUGGAGCUGUCUUUUUACUACUGUGGCCCUCGCUGGGCAGAAGUUCUGGUGUCCCAUGAUUCUGUCUUUGUUGCUGUCAUUGCUUGUGUUCUCAGGGUCCUACCCAAGAAAUCCCUGCCCUGAUCAAUGUUUUGGAGCUUUUCCUGUUUCCUUCAGGUAUAGUUUCAGGUCUCCCAUCAGAGUCUUGGAAAGGUAGGCACAUGAUAAACAUCUGUCCAGUGAUCAAUAGGGGUUCAUGACACAAAGGUCUGGGAGCCACUGAACCUGGUAUGGUUACACUUGUCCCGUCAUCUAUGCAAUGGCUUUGUUUUGGAUACACGCAAUCAUUCUUUAAAAAACAAAUGUUUAAAAAUGCAAGAUUUUGUUAACAGGCCAUUUGAAACUAUUUGAUAUUCAUAUAAAAAGAUUAAAAAGUUUAGACAAUAUCGUCCAAGGAUGGUUUUUCUUAAAGCACACCAGUGCAAAGGUCCCUGGAAACUCUGAAGACCCACACCUAGAACAGAGAUAUCAUGUGAGCUACAAACUCACACCACAUUUGUAAUUUGAAACUUUGUAUUAGCCACAUUUUAAGAAGUAAAAAGAAAUAGGUAAAACUAAUUUUAAUAAUACAUUUUGUUUAACUCAAUACAUCUAUCUACAAAUAUUAGCAUUUCAGUGGGCGAGCAAUGGCAAAGAUCUUUGAGUUAUUUUACAUUAUUUUUUUCACACUCAAUUUUACAUAUUCGAUGUGUAUUUUACCCUCAUUUCAAGGGUCACCUGGGUUUGUGGCCACCAUAAGGAAGAAGGCCACAUGGAGACUUGGGUAGGUAAAAGCCGGGGCAAGGCUGACCAAGCUGGAGAAGGGUUUGGGCCUGUGGGGACACACUUUGGUGAUCCCAGGUAGAGGGGUGUUGGGUCAGGCCGCUGCUCACGUUGCCAAUAUUGCAGAUUUUCAGGUGGUUAUGGAGGCACAGCCCCCGGCAUUUCAGCAGAAGUCUUCCUUUUCCCAGAGUCGCUGUCUUUUCCUUUGAAACGGACGCACAGAUCCUGCGCACACUAGGGGAAGAUGUGAUGCCCAGUAACUAAGUUACACCCCAUAAUUACAAUAAUUUGUUCUUCACCUGGAACAGAGGAUCCAGGUGUUUUAUGGCACAGGAUGGAGGUAGUCCUGGCCCCUUGGGGGAAGAGGACAGGACAGAGGCCCCAGAGCUGCAUCCCUCCCCACCUGAGGAUAAAAGAAGGAGGCUGCAGGGAGCCUGAGGACAGAGGUUUGAGGACAGACCAGGCCACAGAAGAGCCUGGAGUUUUGUUCUGACCUUGACCAGCUUUGCUUAUAGUUCCUUCCUGUCUCUUGAUGUCAUCAAGGGUUUCGCACAGGGUGUGGCCCUGCUCUCUCCAAAGCCCUGGCAUUCAGCACACUUACCACACCUCUGUCACCAGCCAGAGCAGCCUCGUGAUCUGGAAACCACACUCAUUCUGAACUUUUCAGUGACUCCACAUGACGGGCAUAAUGUUGUCUUCCUCCAUAAGAAUCUUAAAUCCAUUUGGGAGGUUACAGUUAGGUUUGCAUGGGUACCAUACCUAGAAUUCCCCAAACUGAGGAAUUAUCUGAAUCCAUAGGACACAAUUUCAUUUUAUCCAUUUGCUUUUGGCUGAUGUUGGAUGUAAACUUUAAAGGAAAAAAUACCUAUGCCACUGAGGAAAGUAGAUAACCUGUUCAUUUGACAAAUUGUAACAACAUCACAGGAUCCUGAUAAAUUAUGAAACAUUGAUGAGGUAAACUCAAACUUUCAGAGAGUAGAAUGACACUCUGCACCCAUAUGAGUGUUGAAAAACGCUGCCAUCACUAUUACCCACCUCUACUGUUACCGCCACCAUCACCAUCAUCACCAGCACUGACACCCCAUAAAUAAUGCCAUUGCCACUAUCACUAGUGUAGCCACCACCACCGUUACUACCGCCACCAUCACCAGCACCCUCACAAGCCUUGCCACCACUGUCAUUGUUACCAUGGCCACCAUCACUAGCGCUGUUGCCAAUACACCUUUCUUUCAUCAGUCCAUUGGGGAAAGAACCUAGCAAAAGAAUGUCUGACAGGGAAUAUCCUCUGCACUGGGGGCCACAUCUUCCUAGCAGGUUAAGGGGCAUGGGGUGGUGUGAACUGGAAAGUGCAGUGUUUGUAAACCGACCCACAAUCCUAGCCAUGUCUUGCUCUUCUUCAAUGACGUCAAGUGACAUUGCUUCCUGAACUAAGAAAGCAAUCGGAGACAGCUGAACUCCCAUGGGGAAUGAGGAGAUGAGAAUGCUUAAUUCUUCAUUCAUAAUGGAGAGAGUCAGCAUGUGGAGGAGCGGACGGGUGGGUGAUGACUCAUGUUCCCUGCACAGGGUACAACCCCCGAAUAAGGAGGCUGUUCCUACAGGCAUAUAUGAAAACAAGGCUCAGGAUUGCAGUCACCAGCCGUGGAAGAUCUCUGACUCAUGUGGUUGAUUUCUAAUUCCUUCUGUGGCAGAGCCGUGCCCCGAUUAUGGCCAGUGUGUAAGCUUGAGCAGCUGAGGAGGACAGAUCUGGAGCAAGUUUCCCAAUUCUUUGAGUUUCAGCGUCUUCUGCCAAUUGGGCUCAUUCAGAUUAAGGUAGAAAUGCAUCAUUCAUCACACAGGAUCCUCAAUACUUACCAGGAAUGAUGCUGUGCUUUCCUCAUCUCUCUCAACCCCCUCUGCUUCCCUGGGAAAGAGGUAUUAUCACCAUCUUCAUCUGACAAAUGCAGAAACCAAGCUCAGCAAGAAGGUCACAGAAGACUUCUACUGUACAAUGAGGUUUCUUGAACAUGCAAGCCAUGUGAUCUGCAAACGUUUACACAUCAAUGGGAGAUGAAAAUUGCCCAAACCCCAAAUAGAAAUACAUAUAGAAAAGCUCACCAAGCUGGAACAACUGGACCAUUUCAAAGGAAAUGCAGUUUGAUUAUUUUCAAGUACAUACAGUAACCAGAAAAAUCACUAACAAGUGCUGGUGGUUCAGGCCCAGAUUUAGUCAACAGAUAAAAACAAUUACCAUGUCUAAGAUAUUCUGGUCUUGCUUAUACUUUGAAUAAGUGUUUUACAAAUAAAAGAAACCUCAAGUGUUGCAAAACAAAUUAUUUUCUUUGGUAAGUAAAUGAUUCUUUUCAAAUACUAUUUAUACUAUUCAUUUACUUACUAAGCCAUUUUUCAUAGAUAGCACAGGGUAUACACUUCAGCUCAGUUCCUUUAAAAAGGAAAGAUUAAAAAUGUCCAGAUCAAAAAGCUUUUAUUGUAAAUGUUGAAAUUUCUCAACAGAUUAACUUAUUUGUCUUUUAGUUCUCUAGAGUAUGAUGUUUUGAAUAAAUGUAAAUUUAUAACAUGCGCAGAAUUUUUGAGAAAUGCAAUAUUUUCUCAAGUUACAUGUUUUUAUCAUUCCUGAGUAUCCUUUAUAAUAGAAUGGAAAGACGGAGAAGGUAGGGUUCUGACUCUGGGCUUUGACAACAUUGCUAGUAGGUCUGCUCCAUUCGCUUUGGUGGACCAGAUUCGGCCUGGCUUGGGGCAUGUCUCGGGGGUGUGGGAUCUGUCAGCUGUUAACCCAUGGAAAAUACGUGAAAUGUGUUCCCCCUUAAAGUUAAUGAAUUAUUGCAAACUGAAAAAUGGGAUUUAUUAAAUAUGGUGGUCCUGGACCGUGCCAAAUCAUUGUGGUUUUUUGGGAACACAGCAAGGUAGCCAGUGGUAUUGCAGUGCGGGGUCGCAGCCCGUCCAGCUGUGGAGCACAUGAUCCUUACUUGGGAGGACAAAUGGCAAUAUUUUUCUAUCCCUGGAGUACAUUCUGCUCUUGAUAUGCCUGCAUAACCACAACGAACAUUUAGUGGGAGUUGCAUACAACGGAGACUCAAGGACUACACUUCUGUCGCCCAAACGAAAAUUCCUUUGGUUGAUCUCUGUCCAGAGCAAGAUUUUCCCUAUCACACAAACAACUAUGUUUGUAUUUUAACUCCAUUUUGUCAGGAUGUCUUUCUUUAUAAAAGCCAACCAAACAUCUGUAAUAAAUUUUUGAUGAUGUGGUAGUUGGUUUUCACUGCAUAUUUAUGGAUUCAACCAAAUUCAAAGUUCAGUAAACACAUUUUAAUCGCCUGUUUUCUGACCAGCAGUGUGACCUGCAUAGGCAAUGGAAGAGCAACAGACUGUGUCCCCUGUGAACUUUCUGUUUGGAGAGAUAUGUCAUGUGCAGCUAGAACCAUGAACACACAGAGCGGAAGAGACCUUGGGGGAUCAUGCUGUCUUGGGGUUCAGUGUGCAAACUCAGAGUUUGCACAACUAGUAAAGCAUAGAGACUGGUUGGCACUAUGUCCUGUGUCUGUACCCAGUGCUAAGGGACAGCUUCUUUCUUACUUGGUAAGUUUUCUGGCUUGCAGAAUGUGGGUCUCUUGUUGCCUAAUCUGACUUUUUUCAGAGGCUAGGAUUCCAAGUGUCCUAAAAUUUCCCAAUUUUUCAACCUUGCCAACUAAUUUGAGUUUUCCUAAGAUUAAAUGAAACACAUCUGUGAGCCUUAUCCUACCUCUGGCCUGCCGUUUUGCAGCCUCUGGUCUAGAGUAAUCCUUCUAUUUUUGUAGAUGUAGAAAAUGGCUUUCCAAAGCAUGGGCGCUAUUAUCAGGACUCCCAGUUCAAAGCUCUGUCACUAACUACACCUUUGCUCAACAAGAAAACAACCAGAUGACUCACAAAGAAAGACACUGUAGUUACAAAGCGACAUGUUAAAAGUCUCUUAGGAAAACGAAAUUAGGGUGGGAGGAGAAAUUAGGUGGGAGGAGAAGAAAUGGAGAGUUCAUGGCAGGAAGAAUUGAAGGAGGUUUUUGCAAAUGACCUUCAAGCUAGAUCUUGAAGUAAGCGACUGAUAAAUAUUGACAAAAGAACAACAAAGAGGUAGAGGAGAAUAAAGUGAGGAAAAUACAUGGCUAGGGAUUUACAAAUGGCUUUGCAAGACAGCACAGAGAACAGCUGGCCUGGCUGGGGAGGAAAAGUCAGGCCACUCAUUCAUUCAACAAAUAUUUUUUAAGUUCAAAUAUGUUCCAGGCACUGUUCUAGGCUAUAGGGAUACAAAAGUGCACAGGAGAGCAAGUUCCAGGCUCCAUGUGGGUUAUUUAUUCCAGUGGUAGACAGAUGACAACCAAGUGAACUAGGGUAAGAUAAUACGAAUAAAAUAAAACUAAGAAACGUAAGUAAAGCAGCUGUGAGUGUCCCAAAUUCACUGGGAUGGUCAGGGAAGGCCUCUCUGAUGAGAUGGCAUUGUGCAGAGUCUCUAGUGAUUAGGAACCAGUCAUGCAAUGAACUGAACAAGGAGCUCUCGAGGCAGAGGGAGAGACAGGUGCCCAGGGCCUCUGGUGGGAAGGAACGGAAAGAACGAGUGUGGCUACUGCUGAGGGGGGGUUUGGUAACCGUGGUGGAAAAUGAGUCCGAAAGACAGGCAGGUACCUCUCAGGCCUUGGUAAGGAAUUUGGAAUAAAAUAAGGUUUCUUGCAGGGAGGAAGCAUAAGCUGAUUGUCGAUAGAGCAUUUCCAGCCCAGAUGUAGUUAUCACUUGACACCUGGUAAGAAAAGAGGCAGAUCAUGAUGGUGGUGGAAUUGAAGCUGGGGAGACAGUUGGUUUCUAGGAGAUGCUAUAGAUUCUUAUGGGCAGAGCAAGGAUGAAUACAGGGCCUGGGGUCUCUGCUGUCCAGAGAGCAGAAGGAUUUCAGCCAAAAGUGGUGGAAAAAGUGAAGAAGAAGAAGCACUCUUCAAUGAACACUCAGCCGGAGGACUCCAUGCAGGUCCCAGCGAAGGAAAAGAGCAGAACUACGGACAGGAGCUGCCGAGUCUCAGAGCAGGAGAUCUGUUGGAAGUGGCCUUGGUGAUGAAGAUGAGAGGAUCCUAUCUGGACUUUAUCUUUUAGGGAGUCCUGAGACAUGUCUUAUAGGCAACCAGAAAUACACAAGUAGAGAGGCCUGGGACUGAAAGGACAGGGCAGGAGAAAAAAACCGAAAGUGCUCUUUGUAUCAGUUGAAAUGGAGGCUAACAAGAAGCGGAUCUUCCCGAAGGAAUACAAGGAGGAGAAGCCAGUCGGAGACCAAACUGAAUAUAUCCCAGCACAAGUAGGCAUUUGUCGUUUUGUUUUUUAGACUGAUCUGUUGGUUUAAGGGAAAAAGUCAAAGACCUUUGUGAAUUUGGGCUUGGAAAAAAAUAGCUUGCUGGAAGUCAGAGGCUAUUCUUUAUUGAUUUAAUAAACACAAAUGUUUUAUGAUAAGGAAGUAUGAUCUAGAACAAACUUUAAAGACACAUUCAAUUUAGGCUCAGUUGGAUGGCUUCUAAUAUUUUCCUGAAAACUCCAAUUUCACUAUGGAGUCUAAGGCUGAUAGUCCUGAGCUUAAAAGCUCUCAGUUUGCAAACAAAACAAAACAAAACUUCAGGCAGUCUUUUUAAACAUGUAUUUUUAUUUUUAAUUGCCAUUAUAGUAAAUGUAUAUAUUUAUGGGGUAGAGUAUAACAUUUUAAUACAUGCAUGGAAUGUGUAAGAAUCAGAUCAGUGUAACUGACAUAUCUAUUACCUCAGACAUUUAUCUUUGUGUUGGGAACAUUCAAAACCCUCUCUAGUAUCUAUUUUGAAAUAUUGAGUUAAUUGUUGACAACCAUUAUUAUCCUACCAUGCUAUAGGACAUUAGAAGUUGUUCCUCUCAUCCAACUGCUGUAACCUCUGUAAGCACAACCUCCCCUUCCUGCCAUCUCCCUCCCCCAGAUCCUCCCCAGACUCUGGUAACCACUAUUCUAUUCCCUACUUCUUUGAGGUCAACUGCUUAGCUUCCACGUGUGUUAGUCAGUUUUCCAUGACUGUAAUACCUGAGUAACCAACUUAAAAAGAGGUUUAUUUUGGCUCUCAGUUUCAGAGGAACCAGUCCCUGAUUAGGUGGCCCUGUGGCUUGCAGCUUGUGGUGAGUCAGCACAUGGUAGAUCAACCUACUCUGGACAGCUAGGAACCAAAACGAGAGGAAGAGGAUGGGCCAGAGGCACAAGGCCCCCUUUAAGGGCACGCCCUCCUAUGUCUAGAAGACUUGUAACUGGGCCCAACCUCUGAAAGGUUUCACACCUCUCAGGACACCAUGGUCUGGGCACCAAUCCCAAGCCUUUAACAUGUGGGCCUUUGGAAGUCUUAUCCAAACUGUAGCCACCUGUAAGGGAGAACACGUCCUACCUGUCUUUGUGUGCCUGACCUAUUUCACUUAACAUAAAGUCCUCCAGUGCUGGCUGUGUUGCUGCAAAUGGCAGAAUUUCAUUCUUCUUAUGGCUGAAUAGUAUUCCACUGGGCCAUAUACCAUGUUUUCUUUAUCCAUUCAUCUGUCAGUAGACACUAAGGUUCAUUGUCUUGGCUCUUGUGAAUAGAGCUGCCAUAAACAUGGGAGUAUAGAUGUCUCUUAGGCAUAUUCUCUUCAAUUCUUGGAUUUAUACCCAGUGGUAUGAUUGCUGAAUCAUAUGGUGGUUCUAUUUCUAGGUUUUUGGGUUCUCUCUCUCUCUCUCUCUCUCUCUGUGUGUGUGUGUGUGGUGCUGGGGAUUAUACCCAGGGCCUUGUGCAUACCAGCUCUAUCAGCUGAGCUAUACCCCAGACCUAUUUCUAGUUUUUUUUUUUUAAUAAUUUUUUAUUCUUUUUUUUUUUAAUAUUUAUUUUUUAGUUUUUGGCGGACACAACAUCUUUGUUUGUAUGUGGUGCUGAGGAUCGAACCCGGGCCGCACGCAUGCCAGGCGAGCGCGCUACCUCUUGAGCCACAUCCCCAGCCCCUCUAGUUUUUUUUUUUGAGGAAACUCCACAGUUUUUCAUAAUGGCUGCACUAAUUUACAUUCUUACCAACAGUGCAUGAGAGUUCCCCUUUCUCUACACCCUCACCAGAGUUUGUUAGUUGUUUUUUUGAUGACAGCCGUUCUAACUGGAGUCCCACGAUAUCUCUUUGUGGUUUUGAUUUGCAUUUCCCUGAUUGCUGAUGUUGGGCACCUUUCCUACACCUGUUGGCCAUUUGUAUACCCUCUUUUGAGAAAUGUCUAUUUAGGUCCCUUGCCCAUUUUUAAAUCAGAUGAUUUGUUUUGGGUUUUUUUUUUUCUUUCGCUGUUGAAUUGUUUGAGUUUCUUAUAUGUUCUGUGACAUAAUCCCUUGCUAGAUGGAGAAUCUGCAGUUAUCUCCUUCUGAUCCACAGGAGCUGUUCUUUCUCUGUCCAGUGCUUCCUCCAUUCUGCAGAAGACUAUGGUUGGGUGAAACCCUGUCACCUUUGCUUUUGUCACCAUACUUUUGGGGUCAUAUCCAAAGAAUCUGCCCAGACCAAAGUCCUGGAUCAAUUUCUCAGGCAGCCUUUUAAACCAGCUCUUUAACCAUGAAAAAAUAUUAAUUUUAUCUUUCAACAAAAGUUAAAUUUGACAAGGUCUUUACUAGUAGGAGAGUAAUUGUUUUAGUCUAGCACAGAGCAGGAGAUAAUGUAAAGAAGCAGGAUUUGAGUGUUGGACCCAUGACUACUGUCAGUCAAUUCCUCUUAAAAAGAGGAAUCAGCACCAUCAAUUGAUUAAGGUGGGAAAAAGCAAUGACUAGCAUUGCCAUUCGAGUUGCCACUGUGUGUCUUCUUCAAAGAAAUUCAAAGAAAAUUAACGAGACCACUCAAGAAAAUUCUAAAGGAAUUUUUUAAAACUAUUUUUUAAAAAUGUUUCUUUUAUUAUUUUUUUAUUUGUGUUUGGGAAAACUACUAUUGUUUUGUAAACAUUACAUGUUUGCCAGUGUUCAUCAUUAAGAAUCAAAACAGCAUAAAUCUGAAUGUAGGGAAAAUCAUCUCAAUUUCCACCCCAUGACAUUAUCAUUUUUAAGAGUAUAAAAAUAUUUUCCAGGUGGGAGGAUGGGUAGGUAAAAAUGUAGUAGGGAUUUGGAGGCUGAGGCAGGAGGAUCACGAGUUCAAAGCCAGCCUCAGCAAAAGUGAGGUGCUCAGCAACUCAGUGAGACCCUGUCUCUAAAUAAAAUACAAAAUAGGGCUGGGGAUGUGGCUCAGUGCUGGAGAGUCCCUGAGUUCAAUCCCCAGUACCAAAAGAGGAGUAGGGAGAUAGAGAAUUGUUUUAUCUUAUGUUUUUGGUGCUUGGAUGGAACCGGGAACGCACAUGCGUGAGGCAGUGCCCUACCACUGAGUUCUACCCCUAGCCCGGAGAAUGGCUUUUAAAAAAGUUGGAUUCUGUGGUGCUUUGUACAAUGUAUUACAUGUAAUUUGACCUGGAUUUCAAUACAGUAAAAAGAAAAAGAAAAGGCAAAAAUAAGUUGAAAAAAAGGUAGAAUAAAUAUUGGGAACCCUGAGAGGCCCUUGCUCUUUGGCCUCGGUGACCCUGUACAAGGUGUGCUAAUUUGUGAUUUAAUAGACAUUGAUCAGGUUUAUGUGCAUUACGUUAAGGUACAUAUUGAACACUUCAUUUUGAUAUAUUACCCUCAUUAACUUUCAUGUUUAAUCCAAUUCAGUUAUAGUGUAUGGGAGCGUCUUUUGUGGGAACAUACUUUCCAUUGAUACAGGCUAAAAGCUGGGAGAGAUAAAAUGAUCCAGGAAGUUCUCUCUUUGCAUGAUCCAGGAUAUGCAUGAACUUCAUCUACCACAUUUUCAUUAAAUAAUGCCUGUUCUCCACUAAGAAUUCAAGUUUCAGUUACCAAGGUCUAUUCAUCAUUAACUGUAUAAAGUACAAACUCCGCUACACACAAAUCACUACGUAAAUAGCGAAUGCACAUCAGGAUCCCUGGACAACAAGUCACUUCCUAGAGACAGGGAUGGGCCCCUAUGUGUCUGUGGUUGUCACCCUUAGAGAGCAAGGCGAGCAGCUAUGUUUCCUUCUUAUCUCCCAGUGAUUCUCCCUGGUGAUAUUUCUGCAAGGGGCUAUCAAAGAAGUGAAUUGAAACAGAGAUGAAAGUGCAGGAGGAAAUGAAAAGUGACGGUGCUGGAGGUGCCACUUGAGUUCAGGGUGGAUGGCGCCACUGAGGACAGAGCUGAUGGGGCCACUGGGACACUGCAGGGUUUGCAGAGCCUCUGGGUCUGCAGCUGGGCAGGAUGCAGGAAAACACUUCACAUUAAAGAAACCUUCGGAGAAAUGUCCUGACGGUAAAAGGGCAGACACUACACUGUGGGGAAGGAAUCUAAACGUAGAAAGGAACAUGACAAGGUGCCACGUGUAGGAAAGAGAUGGUGAGCUGUGUAGAGGAAAGACCAGUGCUGUGGGCUGCCCUGGAUGAGUUCUGGAAGAAGCAGGGUGCUGGAGUCUGCGGUGUCUCUAAGGUUUUCAUUAAGGUGCACUGAGGACACGUCAGUUUUGUUGUUUUCAUUUUCCUGUACAUUCACAAUCGACUAUGGGAGAGAUUUUUAUGUUCUCACAAGCCUCUUUCAAGUUCUGGAAUGAUCAUUCAUGCUGAUAUUGAAACUGCUUCCCACGGCCCUGCGGGUGGGUGGUUUCCACAGUCCUCAUCUGCUGUGCAAAGACAGCUCGGCCUGGACUUCAUGUAUCGUGCAGAUUAGCACGAAUAUAUAUUUUUGUCCCCAUAUCAUGUAUCUUGACUCCCUCGUUAGAUUUUAAGCUACUUACUUGCAGGAAUAAGACCUUCUACAUUGCCCACUCCACCUGGCAUAGCACUGAACAUUUGCUAAGUACUUAGUUGACUUCUUAAUCACUUAUUCUUAUGGUGAAUGACCGGGUAUUAGUAAAGUGUGAAGUCAUAAUAAUAAAUACUAUUUGUUUCAUUAGAGAGUAAGUUUUUCCCAUUUUAUUUUUCACAGUUAGGGCUACAAAAUAUGGCCCCAGAUUGUUUCCUGCCAGUUCCAGGUGUCUGUUCCUGUGGAGGAGGAAGCCAAUGGUGGGGGAUCUGCCUUUGUACAACCUGUGCCAGCUCAGGGCAGCCUGGUACAAUCCCUAGCCCCUUAAACAAUGCCUGCCACAGCAGAGGCACAUCAUGGAUGAUUUAAAUAAAAAUUAUUAUGACUGUGCAUUGCACAUUACUCUGUGCCAGAUGUUUUACAUUCAUUUUCUCAUUUAAUCCUUAUGAUAAUUCUAUGGCCCCCAUAUUACAGAUGAGAAAAGCUUGGCUCAGAUAUUAAGUGCCUCACCCAGAAUGGGCAUGUUGGAGCUGGAAGUUGAAUCAGGGCUGUCUUUCUGUGUCUGGGCCAUUACCCUGAUGAUAAGCUGGCAGCAGGGCCAUCGUGUGAUGUAGAAAUGGGUUAUAGAGAAAGAUGAUACGAGUAAAUGAUCUCUUCCAAUUCAUUCUUUUUCUUUUCUUUUUUUUUUUUUUAAAUCAUGGAGGAAUAUUUCUUGCCAGAUUUAUUUUUGAAAUUAUUCCAGUUAUAAUUUCUUUUAAGAUAUUUCUUUUUAAAAGCCCUUUAAAAAAACACAAAAUGUAAUUCCUAUAAUGAUAGCUUGAAAUAGAAACAGCCAUCAAUCACAUGAUGACUAUUUAGAAAAACCUCUGUUCGUGGGCCACUUUAUGAAGUUUUUCUGUUCUAUAAACUAGGGGUAUGUGUGCACAACACUGCUUACAUUUUAAAACAAGUUCAAGUUAAAAGAAACCCAUUUGUUCUGCGUUGGUGUCCCCCCCAGGAGCUCUAGGUCGUUCUGGCUGAUGUGAGGGCUGCAGGGAGAGGUGUCGCUGCAGCUCGUACGCCCUGCGUGCUUCUGCUCACUUUCACUUCCUGCCUAAGCAGCAGCACCUCACAUGGACCACAGAAGGCUUCCUGGAAGACAUGCCCUAUUGCACGUGAGGAUUCAAGAGCCAACUGGGCCCCGGUGGAUGCCAUGGAACCAGCUGGCAGACCUGCGACUGUGGAGAGCUCUCCUCAUGCUCAGCUUGGCAAAGCUGCUCCUCUUGCUUGUUCUCCUUUUCUUUGUACAUAAUAAAAUGGGCUUUUGAUUACUCUUCUCCCCAGAAAAUAUACAUAUAUAUGCUGUUUGGUGGAAGACUUGAGUCCACUGUUGAACAGAAAUGUGUCUUUCUGUCUGUUUCUCUCUGCUUCCAGUUUCUCAAUCUCUGUCUCCCCUUUCCUCUUGUAUCCCAAGGAUUCUGUUAUAAAAGCUUGUGUGUGAGAACGAGACCUUUGUUCUCUAGACUUCUUGCUGUGUGCAAUUCACAAUUCCCUUUCUGCCCUUGGCCUUCCUUCAGAUCUUCACAGUUGUCUUCCUCUUUUUUAAGCCA